GACACGUUAAUAUCUCUAUGUAAACCCGACGUGUGGGCCUUCUCACCUUAUUUCCUGAUAACCCCCUACAGAAAUAGACAAACACCAAAACUCGUGAAAUUCUGUCAGAUAAAACCCUAAGUUUAGAUGCUGGUUGUAUUUGGAUCCUUUUCUUUAUUUAUUUGAUGAUUAAAUUUGGUACUUAAGGACCGUCAACAACUCCCCCAAGCUUACCUCUUGCUCGUCCCUGAGCAAGGAUGGACUCAAGAGUUUCUGCGGUGGUUUCAUGCCUUAAAGGUACACAUGCGUUCAAACAAGAUCUCAUCUCUAUGUUAGGGUAAACUGUUAUGAUUUAAACUUACUCAUAUUACCUUCCACCAUGGGGCUUGCAACCGUCACUUGUGUCUUGAGCAGUUAAAAGAUAGAACGGUCAAGUCAAGCACCAUGUCUCUUGUUCUUUGAUCAACUAUAGCUCUGGAGUUUUUGCAGAUUUUCAAAUAAAACUCGGAGAUUCCUUGUAUGACUCUCUCUAGUCUCUCUUUUGUGGUAUUUCUGGAUCCUUACCAAGGCAGUGAUGAUAUACGCCUUCUCUCAAAGUAUGUAGUAUUUGUGGUAUGAGGCAUAGUGAUAUUGCCUUCUCUCUCACCCUACUCUAAUAAGGUUUGAUAUCUGGAGCUCAUAGGUGGGAGACAGCUAAUACAUACGUACAAGACAUUUAUUGCAUAGUCAAACCAUGGAUCUAGAGAAACAAGUCAAUAAGUCAAAUCAAGAUGUGCAUGUGUGGUGGAUGAAUGGUGUAUGGUGAUGAUGGUGAAAAUGGUGAAAAUAAUGGUGAAAGUCUAAUUCUACUUUUGCUCUUUUGAGGGGAUACAUACCUUUCUUGCACUUUGAAGGUUUUUGAGAGGAAUGAGAUGCUCUAUAUUUUCUUUUUCUUUUCUCUCAGGUGGGUAUCUUGUACCCCUAAUUCUACUGUCGGACACUUGUCCAUUUUUACCUCUCGUCUCACUUUUUCUUUUUCUUCGAGGUUCCGGGCACUUGCCCCUUUUUAUUUCCUCGUAUAUAUAUCUUUUUUAGAGAACUCACCCUCCUAGAAUAAUGUAGCAAGUGGUAGUAACCAAAAUAUCUGGAGCAUUCAUUUCACGGGGAAUAACAGGGAUAGGAUAAUGUUUUUGGCUAUUCUCUCCUGGAAAGGAGUAGAAUAAUUUUAGGCGAAUCUGGAGAUGGAAAGGAGUGGAUGUAUGUGGAUGCGUACUUCCGGAGUAGAAGCAGCAUGUAUGAGUGAACGUGCAAGUGAAUCUUGUUUAACCGCAUGACAAGCUCCUAAGGGUCUACAGCUUGACCACACUCAAUGCUCAUAAGUAGUAAAAGUAAAUAUGUGGUUCAUGUAUAUAUGGCUGUGGUAGGAUUUUAAACUCUCAUCAUACAUGAACUCAUCAUGCAAAAUUUUAAAGAUUUUCAAAGACAAAAUUCUCUAGAAUUCUAGCAUCUCUAGGAACAGAUAAACAACAGCUCAACGUUCCCAUAUCAUAUCCGUUAACGACUUAGACUUUAGAUCAAGUACUCUUCCCACAAGUUCAGGUUUAGAGCAAAUCUUUAUUCAUAACAGUCAUGCCUAAACUUGAGAGAGAUUUCAAUUUUAAGAACUAGGCAGAGCAACUAUUCGUCAUUUUCAUGUGAGAGCUUAUCAUGAGGGUUCAUAGCAAACUUUAUUUAUUUAUUUAUUUAGCAAACUAAGCAAAGAUAUUCAUAUAAGCACAAAAUCUUUAUUUAGGUUUUUAUGAUUAUGCAUCUUUUUAUUAUUUGAGUAUAAAUGCGAGUAGAAACACUUAGCUGGAUAAAUGGGGGUGCUCUCCCCCAAGCUAAAUUUUGACGUAAUUUCUUUUGAUGUAGCUAGCAGGUGGCGGAGGUGUAUUUGAAUGUCGGCAGCACCCUGACAGCGAUUAUAAUGUCCUCCGUCUGCUAGUCUUCUUUGAUCCUUGAAUUCUGUGGAGCUCAAAUAGACAACAAAGCUUUGUGGAACUGGUUAAGUGUUAGCAUAAAAUCUCUUAGCCGUUAUCAUGUUGAGCUUUCUCUAAUAAAUGUUAUUCUCUUUAGUGGGAUCACAAUCUUAUUUUUAUAUUUUCAUUUUUAUAGGACAGGAAUAUAUUUAUUUUAUUUUUACGCCACCAUAGUGAAUGUACUUAUGGGUUUCAUGCCACGAGCAUACUCACAUGGGGCUUAGUAUUUUUUAACAUUUUUAUUUUCUUUUCAAGAUAGCAUGAUUAACAAAUAAUCUAUUUAAGUAAAGUAAAUAAUUAAAGGGAAAAGGGAAUGCAGAAAGGAUAAAUAUGGAUAACUACCGAUUUUACCUUUCGGCGAGGAUUCAAUGUUUUAAGUCUUCUGAACAAGACUUCUCACCGUGUUCAUUCUUUAGGUGCGUCAUUUGAUUCAGGUGUGGACCUUGACGUCUGCACCUCUUAAUACGGUGUCACCCAUGUUCUUCGUUUGCCCAGUAGUUCGAAGUGCGGUGUUGGCAGUAUUUUGCUCAGUGUGUUUGUGAUCGUAGAUCCAGGUUCUUCACUUGGUGGAGUGUGGGAGUUGUAAAACUCCUCCAUGUUUUGCUCGAAGUGUACCUGCUUAUAGAGACAAGGCAGAGAUCAAGUGCAUGGGUCCUGUUGGUGGAAAACACCAACAGAACCAAAAGUAUAUUUAUUCUUCUCUAUCCUUAAGCAUAGGGAGCAAGACAACGUUGAUGGGUGAUAAGUUCAUGAGUGUAGCAUUUAAAACAUUUGCCGGAUCAGAUCUCUCGACCUAAUGGAAAGAUAAUCUAUCUAUAUAUAUGUCUCUUUUUUUAUAUCUUCCCAAAGAUUAAAUGUGCAACAUUUUAGCUCAUAUGACUAGGAGUGUGGGGAUCAAAGAUUAAGGGACUAAACAUGCUGAAUUAGUGGGGUUGGUUAAGAGUUAUAAAUCAUACAUGUUUAUCUCUUUUAUUCAUAUGAACGCCAGAACCAAUGAGAAGCUUAUAAAAGUGAUAGUCAAGUACCUUAAGGUGUUACCUUAUUUGAAGAGUGAUGGUACAGUCUCACCUUGUGGAAGCUUUCGUUUCUUAGCGGUUGUGUAUCAUGUUUGUGGCACCCUCCAUGGAUCAUCUCUUAUGAGCUACGUCUUCCUUAUGUAAAUUUUAAACUUCAUGUGUCCCUCUCCUUGUCUCCAAUGUGAGUUUAUCUCAGGACUUCCUAGGUCGAUAUUGAAAGUUUUCCUGCAUGGGUUAGUCCGACAAAAUAUACCAAUAUCUACUCAAGCAGUUUUUAGUUCAGUAACCAAACUAGACUCCAUGUCUAAUCAGAUUAAGGAAGGCUAUUUAACCUAAGCACCAUGCUUAAUUUAAAUGCCAAUGGAAGUAUGUCGAGUACUUCCAAACCAACACUUGAUAGUAAAUAGACAAAGGUAGCAUGACAGCAUUUACAGAGAUCUACUCAAGUGGAGAUGAAGUAGUGUGAUUAGUAUUUAACAAAUUGAGCAUGUCUCAAAGGCAGGGACAACCAACAUAGCAACAUGGCAAAGGAUGUUUUUAUGUAAAUUACUCCCCCAAGCUUGAAUUUUGCAAAAUUCAAAUUUGGAUUUAAUUCAAUGUUGUAUGAUGAUUGGUUGUACAUACCUUGUGCUUGUCAUUCAUCUGAUCUUCUUGCUCCAAUCCUAGAAAGGUUAAUAACAAGAAUACCCGAAGGAAUAUUUUUACAAUUAUCCUUAUAUGCUCAAUACGCAAGGUAAUGUUGCAAAUAAUUAAAAGCUCAUGUUAUGAUCUGAUCAGUGCUUAUUUUAGGACACUAAGCUUGUCCUUGGGAAACCAUCAAUUUAUGUCGGCGAAGUGGUUUCCAUUCCAAUGCUGACCUAUAUCAAGAUCAACUCAACGAGAUCUGCAAUAUUUAUUAUAGACAUAUGCAUCGACAACUGCCCUUUUAAUGUUUUUAUAAAUAGAAAGGAAGAAGGGGUUGGAGAUCUCAAGUGUGGUGAUGUCAGAGAGACCAAUAGAUUGGGAAGAUGUUGCAUAUGAGCAUGGAGUAAACGAAGUGGCUAUGAAAUAAAUUCUAUGCUCAUUAAUGUUAUCUUCAUCUCCAAUCUGAAUGUUCAGAGUUUCUCCUAGAUUGGUCUCACUUAUGACCUCUUCUAUAGUUGGAUGAAUCUCAUCUUCAAAGGGAGUCAAGAACUCACCAUUUGAAAUUGAGCCAAAGUCAGAAUCCAUUAAGGCUUCUUCUUUAUCCAUCCAUUCUACACAUUCUAGCCAUUUAGAACUUGUGAUCAAGACAGGGGAGCUGAUAGAAUCUUCUCUAUGGCUUAGCUCUCCUUCUAUGGCAUUACUUGACAUGCCAUCCUUAUGGUCUUCAUGACUCCUAUGGUUUGGUCGUCUUGGUGAAUUGCUAGGAUCAUCAUGAGACUAAAAAGAAGAGGGAUGAGAGGGAUCUCUAAGGUCAAGGAUGGAUUUAGAAUUUGUGAACAUGGAAGUUGAGUAGAUAGAAUCUUCUAUAUGGUUUAGCUCUCGUUCACUUGAUAUGUCAUCCUCGACUUCUUCAUAAUAGUGUUGGCACCAUUUUCUAACACGUAUCUAGGAUCGGUAGGAUGUAGGUCAGCAAGAUAGGGUGGCAAUGCUUGGUCUGCAGAAGAUGUUGCCGAUGAAGAUGUUGCCGGUGAAGAUGGUUGCCGAUGAAGGGAUGACCGAAUAUGACUAAGUCCAUAGGUGGCGAUGUGUUUGUGCCGAUGGCUACGAUGAGGGGGUCUGCCGAUGACGCGGAAGGAGGACCUGGAGGUCGCCGAUUGGCCUGUGGAUCGGCCUUUGGAGGUGUCCCGGUUUGUCACGGGAAGAUAGUUUUAUGUUUUCCUUAGUUAGUUAAAUCGUUUUGUACACGGAUUCUGUUUAAAUUUGGAAUUCGAAUUCUAGUCGUGUCUGGUUGUAGCUCUUUGGGCAGGGUAUAAAUGUAGACCCUAGGGCUUUGUAAGCAAUCUAUCAAUCAAUAAAACACACAUUUUUACUCAUAUUCUAGUAUCUACUUUUUCGACGACUUCGUCACACUUUUUCCUUUUUAUUACGAGUUCUUAGGAAUUCGUCGACUUAAGCUCGGCGUAUUCUCAAGUUUCGCGUGAAUACCUCUUGGCCGUGGCAUCCGAGCGCAUCGCUGUUGUUGGGACCAAAGUAUUCGAGUUACCACCUUUGCCGAUAGUAAGGUCAAAUCGGCUGGCACGCCUUAACGUUUAAAUCGGGUAUUAGCCCUUUGUGUUUGCAGAUCAGCUUUUGCAUCAACACAUCUUUUGGCACGCCCGGUGGGACCGAUUCAAGAUCAAGAUCAAUAUGUCGACUACUGAGUUUGAUCAAGAGAACGUCAUCCCCGUGACGGAAGCCAAUCUCAAGGAUGAGCAGAAGCAAGCUAUUGCCAAAGCCAUGGAGGAUUACAAGCAGCAAUGCCUGAGGUCCUUCAGCAUGAACAGGAGUGGCGAGGUGAUCCAGAAGGAAGCACUGCCGAUGCCUCGGCAGGUUACUUUCGAAGCCAAUCCUGGUAAACUCCAAGACAUGGUUGAUAGUGCUAUUAACCGUGCUUUGAUCAAUCAAGCUGGUGUACUGUCCAAUACGGUUUUCAAUGCCGUAGCUAGAACUUUCAAAGAAGGACAAUUGCCACCAGAUUAUGUGGGCCCCUCUCAUCAUCAGCCAGGGUCACCGAUGGUCACAGCUCCAUCGGCUGCUACAGCCGCUGCGGGCGUCCAGACUACUGCUCCUCCAAGUACGUUGGGAGUCACUAAUGCACAAUCUACGCCGAUGACAACUAAUCCGCCGACUUCAGAUGAGCAGAUUAAACUCACUACGGAUCUAUUGGCAUCGGCAAUGUCAGGACCAGUUCCUCCUCCUAACUGGUGGGGUUUUGGUAUGCCCCCAGAGUUCACAUUGAAGACACCUGGCACAUCUCAGACGGCUGAUAUGAGAGGCAAGGCUCCUAUGGCAUCGGCACCUCCCAAUAUGCCGAUGAAUUAGAGUCCCCAGUAUACUACAACUACUACUGCAAGGCCUUACACUAGGAAUUCUCAAGCUCCAACGUUCCAGAUGCCUAAUGCAUCGGCAGAUUCAAUGCUGAUGCAACAGAGGUUUAUGACUCAACCAGGGUAUGUCAACUCAAUGAUCAUGCCCAAUUACCAGUCAUCGGCAGGCCCUAUGCCGAUGAAUGGUAAUAACGGAUGGCCUGAGCAGCAAGUCUUUCCACAAGUGCCCUAGCAGCAUCAUCAAGCUACAGGGUUCCAGCAAGGCCAGAUCUACCUUAGGUUCCAAAAUCAAGGGUUGCCCAACCAGCCAAUGAAUCUUGGGCAGCAGAUCGGCGGGCAACGGUUUGGCGGGCAACAGUUCGGUGGUCAGCAGGCUAACCCAAUGUUCCAUGCAGAUCGUGCACCGCACAGACACGUGGGAGCUUACCAGCAGGUUCCAGAUCCGCAACCGCCUCAUCGGCAAUAUGCCGAUGCUUAUUGGGCCGAUAAGAUCGCUGAAGUAAUGAGAGACCAAUUUGGGAUAAAGCCCAAAGUCAACACUUACUCUUAUCGGACACCGUAUCCUGUGGCAUAUGAUUUAAUCCCGCUUCCAAAUCGGUACAAAGUGCCAGAUUUUACUAAAUUUUCAGGGCAGGAUGAUACAUCAACUAUGGAGCAUGUCAACAGGUUCAUCAUCCAAUGCGGAGAGGCUGCUAACAGGGACGAGUUGAGGGUUCGCUUGUUCUCGUCAUCAUUGUCUGGAUCGGCGUUCACUUGGUUUAUAUCAUUACCUCCCAACUCAGUGAUUACUUGGGCCGAUCUAGAGAAGCAAUUCCACAAAUACUUCUUUUCUGGAGUUCAUGAGAAGAAGAUCAUCGAUUUGAUCAAGCUGAAGCAACGCAAUGAUGAAUCGGUCGAAAGUUUUGUGCAGAGGAUACGGGAAGUCAAGAACAAAUGCUAUAGUCUGGUUUUGGAUGAUCGGCAGCUAGCCGAUUUGGCUUUCCAGGGCUUAUUGCCACAUAUCAGGGACAAGUAUGCAUCUCAAGAGUUUGAAAGCUUAAGUCAUUUGGUGCAGAGGAUUUCUGAUCAAGAUAUCAAACCUUUUGAACCCAAGAGAGCUUGGAAUAAAAAGGUGUCGUUCGUUGAUGAGGCAGCAAGCUCGGAUUCUGAUGAGGAGCCAGUCAUCGGCUUGGCAGAAUGGGUGAAAAACAAGAAGCCGAUGUCUUGCCCUUUCGGGCAUAAAGAGCCAGAGAGGUUCGCAUUUGACAUCACCAAGGCCGAUAAGAUAUUUGACUUUCUACUUCAGAAAGGUCAGAUCAAAUUGUCACCCAAUCAUGUAAUUCCAUCGGCUGAAGAAUUAAAAAGGAUGAAGUACUGCAAAUGGCAUAAUGCAACUUCUCACGAUACCAACGAAUGCAAAGUUUUCAGACAACAGCUACAAUCGGCUAUAGAGUCUGGGAGGAUGAAAUUUGACAAUUCCAAGAUCCAGAAAUCGAUGAAGAUUGAUCAGCAUCCUUUCCCAACAAACAUGCUGGAUGCCAAAGGAAAGGCCAAGGUCUUGACAUCUGAAGCGGCUGAAAGGAGUGCAUCGGUAGAUCCUCAGCAUCAGAUCACCACUGCCGAUGCAAAGGGAAAAGGCUUGAUCCAGGAGGGGACUAACUCAGGAAGGCCUCCCCGAUCUGGUAUUGUGAUAACUCACAAAAGGCCUCAGGAGACUUGGCAGCAGCGUGAAGAUCGGUAUCGGCGCCAGCAAGAGGACUAUCGUCGGGAAGAAGACAGACGCCGACAGGAGUGGAAUCGGCAUCGGGACCACUGGAAUUGUCCGUUCUUCAUCCAUUGUUGGGAGGAAAAUAUCAAACUUCCCACUGUCAGAGAUUGUCCUGAGUGCAACGGUUAUGACCGGUAUGACAGGUCAGAUCGGCAUUAUCGUGAUGAUGAUCGGCGAUUUAAUGGGCCGAUUAGGGGGAGAGCGUCCGUUCAUGCUGGGGGCAGGCUCAGUGUGCACGAUAGGCUCGGCGAUCGUGUUGAGUACUUUCCCAGGAACCAGGAAGAACUUGAGGAGAUGGCUAAUGCUCGAUUUCCCGACGAGUUCAUAUUUUGCAGGGAUGCCAAUACUUAUCAGAUGGAGUCAAGGGAGAAUCAUCGCCCAUCGGUAAGGCAGCAACAACUUCCUUCAUGGUGUCCAGAGGGGUUGACCAGGACACAGAAGAGAAGACUGCAGCGCGAAAGGCGAGAAGAGUUAAGCAAGGGGGAGAACUCUGGACAGUCUGGGGAUCAGCAACAAUCAGAUCCUAAGGGGAAAGGCCCAUCGGCAGACGUCCACAUGGUAUUUAUGUUGCCGAUGGAGUUCCUUGCACCAUCCAGUGAUGAUGAGUUGGAGUUUUCCGACCAGAUAGCUCAGUUGGCUCUAGAUCCGAUGGCAGCCAUCUUCGAAAAGCCUGCCGAUGAUGAAAGGCAACAUCUUAAGGCUCUGUUUGUCAAAGGAAGGGUUGAUGGUCAGCCACUAACCAAGAUUUUAAUUGAUGGUGGGACUGCUAUCAACAUCAUGCCAUAUGCAGUGUAUCGGAAGCUUGGAAAAGGAGAUCAAGAUUUGACCAAGACCGAUAUGAUGCUCAAAGACUUUGAAGGGAAUGUGUCUCCAGUUAAGGGGGCAAUAUGCAUAGAGUUGACCAUCGGCAGUAAAACCUUGCCGACAACCUUCUUCGUGAUCAGUGGAAAGGGUGCUUACAACUUACUAUUGGGAAGAGGUUGGAUUCAUGCCAAUUGUUGCAUCCCGUCUACAAUGCACCAGUGCUUGGUUCAGUGGGUAGGUGAUAAGAUUGAGAUUGUCCCAGGAGAUUCUUCUUAUGUCAUCGCAUCGGCAGAGGCAGACACCUAUGAAAGGAUUAGGUGUAUUUCAGGAGAAGCUUGGGAAAAGGAUUUUCUCAAGGUUGCCGAUUAUGAAAUUGCACCGAUCCAAGCAGUCGGUUCUGAAGAUGGUUUUUAAUGGAUAGGUUCGCCGAUGAUGGAAAAUUAGGCCAAGGGUUCACAUCGGCCGAUGAUCUAGUAGAAGUAGAUAUAGGUAGUGGUGAUAAACCUAGGCCUACUUUUAUUAGUGCCAAGUUAAAUUCAGAGUGUAAGCAGCAGUUAACCAAUUUGUUAAAAGAAUAUAAAGAUUGCUUUGCUUGGGAUUAUACUGAGAUGCCUGGUUUGGACCGAUCGAUUGUUGAACCGGUUGCCUAUCAAGUCUAGAUUUCGGCCACAUCAGCAGCCAGCUCACGGAUGUAAUCCUAAUAUUCUUCCUGAUAUUAAGGCUGAAAUAACUAAGCUGAUUGAAGCUAAAUUUAUUCAGCAGUGUCGGUAUGCCGAGUGGAUUUUCAAUGUGGUUCCAGUCUACAAGAAAAAUGGGAAGCUCCGGGUCUGCAUUGAUUUCAGGAAUCUUAACAAAGCUACACCGAUGGAUGGCUAACCAAUGCCAGUUGCCGAUCUGCUAGUUGAUGCUGCGGCUGGGCAUCGGAUCAUUAGCUUUAUGGAUGGCAAUGUAGGAUACAAUCAAAUAUUCAUGGCUGAAGAAGAUAUUCCAAAGACUGCAUUUAGAUGUCCUGGUCAUGUUGGGUUGUUUGAAUGGAUAGUCAUGACCUUUGGCCUGAAAAAUGCUGGUGCUACUUAACAAAAGGCCAUGAAUUUCAUAUUUCAUGAGUUUAUCGGUAAGCUGGUGUAAAUUUAUAUUGACGAUGUGGUGGUUAAGUCUGGAGACUUUAUAAAGCAUCUUGCCGAUUUGAGAAAGGUAUUGGAAUGUACAAGGAAGCAUGGGUUGAAGAUGAAUCCCAAUAAGUGUGCAUUUGGUGUAUCGGCAGGACAAUUUCUUGGUUUCAUGGUCCAUCAAAGGGGGAUUGAAAUUAGUCGAAGAUCCAUUGAUGCCAUCAACAAAAUAGUUGCUCCUACCAACAAGACUGAGCUCCAGUCCUUGAUCGGCAAGGUAAAUUUUAUCAGGAGAUUUAUAUCUAAUUUGUCUGGUAAAAUUUGUGCUUUCAGUCCUUUACUAAAGUUGAAGGCCGAUCAAGAAUUUGUAUGGGGGAAAGAACAACAGUUGACCUUGGAUGAAAUCAAGAAUUAUUUGGUAAAUCCUCCAGUUCUGAUUCCACCUCAACAAGGGAAGCCCUUCAGAUUGUAUUUGUCUACCGAUGGGAUGGUCAUCGGUUCAGCUUUAAUUCAAGAAUUUGAAGGGAAGGAACGUGUGAUUUACUAUUUAAGCAGGAGGUUGAUUGAUGCUGAUACCAGGUAUUCGGCUAUUGAAAAACUGUGCUUAUGCUUGUACUUCUCCUGUAUUAAGUUAAGGCAUUAUUUGUUGUCGGCCGAAUGCACGGUUAUCUGCAAAGAUGAUGUGGUCCGAUACAUGCUGUCUAUGCCGAUCAUGAGUGGCAGGAUUGGUAAGUGGAUUUUGGCGCUGUCGGAAUCUGAUCUGCGUUACGAAUCGGCCAAGGCGGAUAAAGGACAGAUUAUGGCUGAUUUUGUAACUCAACAUUGCGGUGCUGUGGAGGCUUUGGAAAUUGUACCUUGGACGCUCUUCUUUGAUGGAUCCACAUGCGACCGGGGGGCAGGAAUCGGCAUAGUAUUAAUUUGCCCUCGGGGAAGGAAGUAAUUUUCCUUGCCGAUUGUUGCCACAUCCACAAAUAAUCAAGCUGAGUAUCAAGCUUUGAUAAAGGGUUUGGAAUUGCUGAGGGAAGUUCAUGCUGAUGCUGUUGAGGUCUUCGGGGAUUCUAUGAUAGUUAUAAAUCAAUUGGCUGGAAGCUAUGAAUGCCAAAGUGAAGUCCUGAUAACUUAUCAUGAAAGGAGUAUGGAACUAUUAAAGGAAUUCAAGGAUUUCCGGUUAGAGCAUGUUCCUCGAUUGCAAAAUGAAGAGGCCAAUCGGUUGGCUCAGCAUGCCUCGGGAUAUCAGCCCAUGAUUAAUGCAAUAUCGGCAAUCGGUGCUGAUGAUUGGAGGGAAGAAAUCAUUGAUUAUUUAAAGGAUCCAUCUAAGAAAGUUGAGAGGCGUGUUCGGUUUCAAGCUACCAAAUAUGUGCUCCUUGAAGGUGAAUUAUAUUACCGAACUAUCGAUGGAAUUCUUCUCAGAUGCUUAGGUGAUGAUGAGGCUAAGAGUUUGAUGGGGGAGAUCCACGAGGGAGUAUGUGGAGCGCAUCAAUCGGCUUUUAAGAUGAAGUGGAUGAUUAAAAGAAAUGGGUAUUAUUGGCUGACUAUACUUGAGGAUUGCUUUAAGUAUUUCAAAGGAUGUCAAGGCUGUCAGAAAUUUGGCAACAUUCAAAGAGCGCCUGCAUCAGCUAUGAAUCCUAUCAUUAAGCUGUUCCGGGGAUGGGCUAUUGAUUUGAUCGGCCAGAUUUAUCCGCCAUCCAGCAAGGGGCAUAAAUUCAUUUUAGUUGCCACCGACUAUUUUACCAAAUGGGUUGAAGCUAUUCCUUUGAAGAAAGUUACAUCGGCCAAUACGAUUGAUUUUGUGAAAGAGCACAUUAUCUACCGAUUUGGGAUUCCUCAAACAAUUACUACCGAUCAGGGUACUAUGUUCACAUCGGGAGAGUUUGACGAAUUUGCAAUCGGUAUGGGAAUUAAAGUGUUAAACUCUUCUCCUUACUAUGCUCAAGCUAAUGGGCAGGCCGAGGCAUCUAACAAAGGAAUUAUCAAGCUUAUUAAACGAAAGAUUGAGGUGAAUCCUAGGAGGUGGCACACAUUGUUAAAUGAAGCUUUAUGGUCAUACCGGAUGGCUUGUCAUGGAUCGACCAAGGUUUCACCUUAUCAGUUGGUGUAUGGGCAUGAUGUAGUGUUGCCUUGGGAAAUUAAGACUGGAUCUAGGCGACUAUCUUUUCAAGAUCAACUGGCUGCCGAUGAUUAUGCUACCUUGAUGACAGAUGUGUUAGAUGAUCUAGCAGGACAUCGGCUAAAGGCCUUAAUGAGUAUAGAAGAGAAUAAGAAGAGAGUUGCCAGAUGGUAUGAUAAGAAAGUAAAGGCUAAGGAGUUUGCUGAUGGAGACUUGGUAUAGAAAUUGAUCUUACCGAUCGGGACUAAAAGUUCAAAAUUUGGGAAGUGGUCUCCCAAUUGGGAAGGUCCUUAUCGGAUAAGUCGAUCGGCUCCUGGUAAUGCCUAUAUCUUAGAAACUCUCGAAGGAGUUGAAUUUCCCAGAGCAUUAAAUGACAAAUAUCUAAAGAAGUACUACCCCAGCAUAUGGGUCGAUGCAUGAAAGUUUAGGUGCCGAUAACAUUCCUAUCGGCUGGAUCAAAAUGUAUCUGGGGGUAAAACUCAGUGUUUUAAAAGGUGCCGAUAACAAUCCUAUCGGCUAGACCAAAUACUAGGAAAGCUGGGAAGCAGAGAGGAGCAAGUAUGUUGCCGAUGAAGAGCUCACAUGUUUAGCAGCGCCUGGAUGGCCGAUAUAGCGCGCAGACGGAUUUGGUUGGCUGCUUCUAUCUCUUUGAUGUCUUCAUCGACAGAACCUUCCACCGGCUUCAACUUCUUCUUCAGCUGCAGUGCUUUAUGGCCAUGGAUGUUUCGCUCUUGCUCAAGGAGUUUCAUUGCCUCGGGCAGCUAGUUUUCCUCUUGCUGGGCUUGGGACAAGGCUUCUUCCACUUGCUUGAGCUCUGCCAACAGAGCUUCUCUUUUUGCUGACAGAUCAGUGAUCUUGUGCUUCAGUGCAUCUCCUGAGGACUUCAAGGUGUCGAUGUUCUUAUGCUUCUCCUCGGCAAGGAGCUUUACUUUCAUCAUCUCUUCGGACAGCUGGGCAUGAGCAGCUCUGUCGGCGAGACGUUGGGCCCUCUGGUACUGCAGCUGACGGCUCUCCAGAUGUGCAGCUUGAAAGAGGAUUUCUUCAACAUCGGUAGGAAUUUGGCCUCUGAGGGUCUUGAACAAGGCCUUGGCAGGGUCGGAGUUGUCGACCAGUUGGGCUGUUUCCUGGUGAAGAAGGGCCGACAAUUCUUCCAAUUUUGCCCUAAUUUCCGCCGAUGUGAUCCCAACUGCCCGAGAAGAGCUUGCUUCUUCGCCUUCGUCUUCAGAGAUGUCGAUGGCAAAGGAAAACAAGCUAUCGGGAGAGUCCUGUUCCUGAAAGAGAAAUAGAGUGAGUUAUUCCAUGGUCAAAUAUUGACAAAUAAUACUGAUGGAUUGGAUGGCGUACUUGUUUCAAGGCAAUUUCUCGCCUUUGACUGGAAGAUGCCGGUAGUACUAUAGGCUGAUCGGCUGGGGUUGCCGAUGGGACUAUGUCAGCUGAAAAAUUAGUAGAAAUAAUUAUGAGAUCAGGAAAGUGGAUUCAUCGGUAAUGACUUUGUAAAGAUGUAUUACCUUGAGGAGGUGCAGUACUUGUCUGGAUCGAGGAAACUACCGAUGAUAUGAUUGAGCCUGCUGGAUCGGUAGUCUGCUCGCCCACAUCGGCCGAUGUGUCUUCAAGCUGAGGUACUUCUAAUUGAGUUCCUGCUGGUUGGGUUUCUUCCACUUGGGGUGCUUCUUGUAGAUGAGGGGGAGAUGGUGCUUGUUGCGUCUGGGCUUCCGGAGAAGAAGGGGAAGAUUCCACUAUGAUUGCUGACACUGGGGGAGGAGAAGGUGUUGCUACCCUUUGGCGCUUUGUUUGUGCUCUGGUACUCUUGGCACCCUUUCUCUUCGGCUAACUAGACUGGGGGGCAUCAGCACCUGUGCUUCUGGUUCUUGCUGAUGUGCCGGUGUGCUGAUACAGAAAGGGAAAUUUGUGAAUACAAGUGCAACAGAUGUAAGAACGAGAUCGGUAUGAAAGAGGAUGAAAAUUUACCUUGAAAGCCUGUGCCAAAGUGGAGGCAGCUACCGAUGGAGAUGUCUUGGUCCUCUUGGUGGUUACUUUCUUGAGGCGUACACCUCGAUGCAUGAUGGCAGCCAGAGUGGGAGCGUUGUUGCCGAUUGAAGAGAUCGGACCUGAUGGGAACGGAUCAAUUGGCUUGCCACUCCUGCUGACCGAUGGGGGAGUGUCAUCAACCUGCAACAUGACACAAAGAGUAAGUUACCGAUGAAAAUGAGAAUAAAAGGAUUAGCACAUCAGUUUGGAGGUACUUACAGUAUCGUCGGGGAUUUUAUACUGAGGAUCGAUCAUGCCACGGUACGUGAGGGCCGAUCUGCAAAACAAGUGCUCCUUCCACUCCUCCCACCAUUGCUUGUAUGCCUGAGUAAUGAAGAGGGCUGGAACCCACUCUGAUAGAUCUACAUUUGUAUCGGCAUUCGGUGAAAGCUGGGCUACUCGGAUCCACUAGAGGAGGUUAGUGAUGAAUUCCCUGGGUUUUAUCACAUCGGCAUAACAGAGUGCAAUCGGCAGCUGGCCGAAAGCUAGUUGACGGGCUAGUGCCGAUGGAUUGUAAAACUCAUAGGUUUGGUUGGAGGUUUUCCCACUGCCGAAGAAGUUCACUGGUAUAACUCUGGGGGUGAUCACUGCCAUCAUCACUUCGUUAUCCUUGUUAAGAGCAUUAUUGAAUGGAUGGAAGACCAAAGGAAACAUGGUGUCUAGAUCUUCAUAGGGCAUCCAUGCUCGCUGUUCUCUGGUCAGGCCUUCAUAUAGGGUUUGGAAGAAUCGGCUGACCUGGUCUGCAUUGCCCCCUGUACCAGGCAGAACUAUGGCAGCCUCGCCAAAGUUUAGAGGAGGGCGAGUUGCCGAUUCUUCCUCAUCCAGUUCAUAUUCCUCAGCUAUAUCCCUGGGGAAGCGCUGUGCGAAGAGGUCAAACUCAAGACGCUUGUGCAUGUGGAGGCUGAGCCACAUGUUGAUAAACCACCAGGGACCCCCCAAGUUGCCGAUGGACUCGCCGAGUAGGAGUUUCCUGGUUACUUGGUGAAGGAGGUGAUAGGCUGCGCCAAGCAGGUAUCGGCCGAGGGGAAAUCGGCCACUGUUGGCUAAUCUUUCUGCUGCUGAUAGGUACACGGAAGUUGGUCCUGUCGAUCGACCACAGAAUACAAAUUUGUCCAACCACAUGUUUAGGAAACUAGUCUGUUCCUUUAUGUUAAUAGGGCCUACUUGUUUGUAUUUUUGGAUGUAUCCUGACCAACCGCCGAUGGAGCGAGUUUCUACCUUGGCACUGGGUUUGGUAUCAAAAAGUGGGUGCUAUCAGCAGAAGAUACAUCCAGGCCGGUGAGCAUAACCACAUCGGCAAGUGUGGGGGAAGCAGGGCCGUGGCCGAAGACAAAGGCAUUGAGCGUGUCUGACCAGAAAUAUGAUGCAGCUAUCAACAGCGACUCAUUCCUGUGCAUGUCGGCAAUGGACAGCCUGAUGCAUUGGUCCAGUUUUCUCUCACCCCAUUGGACUUCAUUUGAGUGGCUGACUCUUAAAAACCAAUCCUUCCAUCCCACGGUAGGACUGGGCCAGGAACGGAAGGUAUCCUUCCACAGAUCUAGAGAGAAAUUCUCGGCUCUAAAGGGGAUUUUGUUUGUUUCUGCGUUGAUAAGAUCAGUGGGAUCUGGAUCCCCUAACGGACCAAGACAUUGAAGAUGGGGCUGAUCGGUAGGGAUGGCAAUUUUGUUGGACAGAUCCUAAUAGUUUUAGGGGUAAAAAGAAGAACAAGAACAAAAAGAGAAAAAGGAGGAUGCUCAAUAAAUAAAUCGCAGAUGAGCCAGGACAUGGUAAAAAUACAUGAGAUGGGGUGAUGAACUAACCUCAUGGAUGGUGAAGUUGAUGGCCAUUUUCCUCGCAAGGAAGAAGAUUGAAGACUUCAAGAUUGGUGGAGAAAGGCCUUCGCUGGAGUUCUUGGAGCUCUUGGAUAGUGCCGCCGCCAGAGAAGCAGAGUUGGGGCUGUAGAAUGAUGUGAUGGAGAAGGAGUACCCGAGAAGGAACUAUUUAUAGGAUGAAACGGGCAAGGGUAAAUCUGACUUAUCACUUCGCCGUAUCCAUGAAAUCCGAGGAUACUCAGGAAGAUAUGGUAACUGUUCGCACGGUAAUCAAGGGAUUGCGAGGUGAUUUGACAGGAAGCGGUCGUGAUCCGGAGAUAUUUUACUGUGCGAGAUUUCCUAGUUUGUCCAUCGGCAGCGCUUUGUAACGGUAAUAUUGCCGAUGGACGGAUAAAGUGGAGAGAUCCGUUGGGGAGGAUAAGACACAUCACUGUACGGGAUGUCCUGGUCAGUCCAUCGGCAACUCUUUGUAACGGUCACAUUGCAGAUGGGCGAUUGAUGUGGAGGUGUCCGUUUAGGAGGUUGAGAAUUUCGAGGAAUCUACGGAGGAAUAGGAUCAGAGUUGUUCAAAUUGAGGUUGUCGGUUACCAAAUUGGGAGCAUUAAUUGUGGAAAGGCAUCAUUACUGCAGAGAAUUUCGAAGCAUUAAUGAUUCCAUACUCCGAAAUUGGGGGGCAUGUGUUGGCACCGUUUUUGGACACGUAUCCAGGAUCGGUAGGAUGUAGUUCAGCAAGAUAGGGUGGCAAUGCUUGGUCUGCGAAAGAUGUUGCCGAUGAAGAUGGUUGCCGAUGAAGGGAUGACCGAAUAUGACUAAGUCCAUAGGUGGCGAUGUGUUUCUGCCGAUGGCUACGAUGAGGGGGUCUGCCGAUGACGCGGAAGGAGGACCUAGAGGUCGCCGAUUGGCCGGUGGAUCGGCCUUUGGAGGUGUCCCGGUUUGUCACGGGAAGAUAGUUUUAUGUUUUCUUUAGUUAGUUAAAUCAUAAUGUACACGGAUUCUGUUUAAAUUUGGAAUUCGAAUUCUAGUCGUGUCUGGUUGUAGCUCUUUGGGCAGGGUAUAAAUGUAAACCCUAGGGCUUUGUAAGCAAUCUAUCAAUCAAUAAAACACACAAUUUUACUCAUAUUUUAGUAUCUACUUUUUCGACGACUUCGUCAUACUUUUUCCUUUUUAUUACGAGUUCUUAGGAAUUCGUCGACUUAAGCUCGGCGUAUUCUCAAGUUCCGCGAGAAUACCUCUUGGCCGUGGCAUCCGGGCGCAUCGCUGUUGUCAGGACCAAAGUAUUCGAGUUACCACCUUUGCCGAUAGUAAGGUCAAAUCGGCUGGCACGCCUUAACGUUUAAAUCGGGUAUUAGCCCUUUGUGUUUGCAGAUCAGCUUUUGCAUCAACAAAUAGGAACCAGGACAUUCUCUAAGAGAACCAUUAUUGCAAGGAUUUGAAUUAUCCCUACUUGAAGGUCUCUUAUGGAUCCAGAAGUCUAAACCAUCAGUAUCUGAAAGAUUUAAGGUCGGAAUUCCUUCCUCCCUUGGAGAAUUUUGGGGUAUUGAUGGUUUAUGAUCGAUAGCUAAAGUUUGGGAUUGAAGUGGUUGCGGUCUGGCUAUCGAAACUUCUUCUGCUCUCAGGGAUAUAAAAGCUAGGAGACUUUCCGCUCAUUAAAUCAAUCAAAUUCCAAGCUUUACUAGCGGAUAGGUGGUGGAAAGAUCCUCCGGAGGCUGUAUUCAAUGUUUGCUUAUUUUCCAUACUAAGGCCCUCAAAAAAGUGAAUUAGAAGAACUUCUUGUGGAAUAGAAAGCUUUGGGCUAGUGAGAGUAAGGUUAAUAAAGCGGUCCCAUGAUUUGCCAAGAGAUUCUUCUUCCAGUUGUCUAAAAGAAAUAAUCUCACGCCGAAGUUUCGCCACUUUAGAGAUUGGAAAAUAUUUAAAAAGAAAACUAUUAUAUAACUCCUUCCAAUCUCCAUGAACACUCCCUACUUUGAGCUUAUACCAAUGUCUAGCUUUUCCUGUUAAAGAGAACGGAAAGAGCUUCCAUUUAAGGGUCUCAUCGGACAUGCCUUCCAUGUGAAGGAGGUCACAGACUCGAUAAAACUCUCUUAGGUGCGUGUAUGGGUUUUCCUCACCUUCUCCUGAGAAAGGUUGUUUUUGAAUAAAUUAUAUGUAUUCGGGGUCUAUCUCAAAACUAGAUGCUAUGAUAGGCUUUGAAGAUUUUGGUGGUUCGAGAUGUGUGCCCGUAGGUCUAUGAAAUUCAUAGAUAGACAUUCUUGAAUUCAUGAUAGACCAGAGAUCAAGGAUUAGAUAAGAAGUAAGAAUAGCAGAGAUAAGGCAAAAGAUAAAAGGAAAAGUAUAAAUAUAUAUUUUUUUUAUUUUUUAGAAAAUGAUUAAGCUAGUUCGUAGUCAACUCAGCAACCGUUUCCCCGGCAACGGCGCCAAAAAUGCUUGUUGACACUUGCUAACACCACUUGAAUACUAGGUUGUCAUCCCCAGCAUGGCACUAGAGUGUACUAUGGUAUUUAUACACACACAGAUAAUCCGCAAGCGCACGGAUACCAUUAAAGCUUUUACCUGGUUAAAGGUUUUAUCGUAUCCACAGGGAAACAGGAGAACCAACUACGCUCUAACUUAACCAAGAUAGAUAGAUAAGUGUAAAUAGGAAAGAUGGUAGAAUUGAAUAAGAACAAUAUUAAAGGUAAGAUAACAAUGGGUAUAAUAGGGGAAUAGAGAGUUGAGCAAUCUAGUAUAUGGGCUAUGGUAGCAGAAUAGAGAGGAUAACUAUGGUUUCUCUACUUCAAAGGGGUAUGUCUAUGUCUGGAACGAACCAUGUGAUAAGAGUACACCACAAAGGAUGCUUAUCCUUAGGCCGAUAAACCCUACCCGUCCUGCUAACGAGAGGUGGACUACAGAGGACCAACGUAACUGUCACCUACGCGGCCUACCACACGAUCCAGCUAGACAGGGGAUAUCCACAAGUAAUCUAGGUCUAAGCACCACGCUUACACCUAUACUACAACUCUAACCUAUAGGGUCCUAUAGAUUAGAAGUACUCAAAAGAGUUGUGAACCAGAACAUACAUGAUUAGUAAUUGCAUAAUGAAUUAGAAGUAGAUUACCAGAGUCAUCCCAUGAGCAAGCUUGAUUAGAGCUUGAUCAUGACGAAGUACAACCGGAGGAAGAACCGACAGGCCAGCCUCUCCUCUAAUCCUCCUUCGCUCUCCAUCUCGCUACUAUCUAGAUCUACUCUAGUUUAGAGAAGAGAGGAGAGCUCUCAUCUCUAAACCCUAGCUUUUGCUCUGUCUAUGAAUAAUGAAUAAUGAUCAAGGGGUGCCUCCUCCAGGGGCCAGGGGGUCUGCUUAUAUAGUCCCCUCAAGUGAACCUGGGCCGUCGGAUCAAACCGACAUUGAUUGAACGGUUAUUCUUGAUCCUUUAGGUCGGUGGAGCAUAAUCCGCGAGAUUGAGCGUGAUUGGUUGAAACUCCAGGGCGGGCGCCCAAGGGGGGAGGACGGGCGCCCUGCCCCUGGGCCCGUUCGGCCUCCCGUUCGUUCCCGUGGCUUCUGGAGUCUUCUAGAUGAUAGAAAAUUGCGCGGCACGUUAAUAUCUCUGUGUAAACCCGACGUGUGGGCCUUCUCUCCAUAUUUCCUGAUAACCCCCUACAGAAAUAGACAAACACCAAAACUCGUGGAAUUCUGUCAGAUAAAAUCCUAAGUUUAGAUGCUGGUUGUAUUUGGAUCCUUUUCUUUAUUUAUUUGAUGAUUAAAUUUGGUACUUAAGGACCGUCAAAAGCAUCUUUUUAGUCUUUUUAUUUUUCUAGAGAUUAACACUUGGCAGAUAAAUAAAGCAUACUUAUCUACACACUCUUUUUAUUUUGUUUUCAUGUUCAUAGAAUGUAGUAAAUUAAAGCAAGAAAAUAUUUAUUGGGUUUUUUUGAAAUAAAUAAAACACUAAAAUAGAAAAGAAUAAAUAAGAGGAGCAAAUAAAAGCUUACUUGAUAAAACGGGGAAGAACUCCCCCAAGCUGGAUGUGGUUGUCGGUCUUACCCAAUGUUCCAGAAUCGCAUUAUGGCAGAGAUGUUGUCGCUCAUUGAAGUAGUGUCUUGCCUCAGUCCUUGUACUGCAGCGGUGUGGUCCUGGUUCCACUUUUGUUGCUGUUCCAGGAGUCGUCCAUGUUCUGCUUGCAUAUUCUGGAUGCCGAGGAGGGUGUUGUCGAUACGAGUGAUGAAGGCGCCGGCCUCUUGGCAGUAGUCGUUCGUGAAAGCAUUAGAGGCGUCGGAGUACCGUCCUGCAUCGAAUUAGGGCUGGGGCCUAGACCCUGAUGCUCUAUAUGGAUCAGUGGAGUACCUGCCCGUACUAAAAGGUGGGUUUGCCCACUGGUGAUCUUGGCCCUCCGGCCACAUCUCCUAUGUUGGCUCCUGCGGCUGAGCAUGUCAAACCCAUGGGUCCCGAAGGACUCGGGGGUUGUAGUCGCGGUAAUGCAGGUGCGCUGCUUCCUCUGGCCCGGGAUCAGCUCCAUACCAGGUGCGUUUGUUGAUAUUUGGGAACGCAAUAAGGAAUUGAUCCGCAAGCGCACGGAUAUCGGUGAGCACUUCACCCGGGAUGUUAUCCAGAGUAUCGUAUUUAUAUUUUUACCACUAGGAGAAAGAGUGCAUCUGACUAACCCAGUCUAUUACUACUAACCUUUAGGCUACAAAGAAUGUUUCUCGAUGUGAGUGAUAUAUAGAGAAGACUACAACCGUAAUCUCUUUCUAACCUUGGUAAAGAUAAUCUACUGUUCUAUUGGGGAAGCUUACGGAAUCUAGACACCAUAGAGGAUGUUCAACCCACACCUAUAAACCCUAUCCUUCCUGCUAAUGAGAUAUGGUCUGCAAAGGUAACUCAGAAAUGUCACGUUCCUCGCUACUACCACGGUCCAGGUAGUAAGGGAAUAUCUAUGAGUAUCCUAGCCCAAACACCACGUCUACGCUAGAGAUGAUUACUCUAAACUCUACGCGAAGAGAUUAAGUAAACUCAUAAACCAAAGAACAGUAAAAAAAGAACUUACAAGAAUUUAGAAUUCAAAAUACUGAAGAAUCCUAGGAACAAGCUUCGGGUUAGGAGAACUUGAUCCCACAGGUACAACCUCGGAGUAGACACCGACAGGCCGGGCUUCCUCCGAUCUACAGCUCCACUCUAUCUCCCUCAAUCUAGUAGAACUCAGAAGAACUAAUUCUACUCACAUUGGAAGCUAAGCCCUAAGUCUAUUUAGAGGAGAGUUUAUCCUUCGAGGGCUCCUCUCAACUCUAUGAUGAACUUGUUCUCCUCCAGGGGCCAGGGGGUCUGCUUAUAUAGUCCCCUCAGGUGAACGUGGGCCGUUGGAUCAAACCGACAUUGAUUGAACGGGUAUCCUUGAUCCUUUAGGUCGGUGGAGCAUGAUCCGCGAAGUUGGACGGGAUUGGUUACAACUCUGGGGCAGGCGCCCUAGGGGGGAGGGCGGGCGCCCUGCCCUCAGGCCCGAUCACCUUCCCGUUUGUUCCCGUGGCUUCUGGAGUCUUCUACAUGGUAGAAAAUUGCGUGGUGCGUUGAUAUCAAUAUGUAAUCCCGACAUGUGGGCCUUUUUCCUUGUUUCCUGGUAACCCCCUGCAGAAAUAGAAAAACAACAAAACUCAUGGAAUUCUGUCAGAUCAAACCCUAAUUCUAGGUGUUGUUUGCAUAUUGGUCCUUUCUCUUGUUUAUUUCAUAAUUAAAAUUGAUACUUAAGAACCGUCAACAGCGUUCUUGAUGGGUGGUCAUCCUUUUGGAUGCCACUCGCUAUGGAGCUCUCUGGUUUACCGGUGCCACUGCAAUCUCAAUCAAAUAAUUUUGAACGACAUAGAGGCUAAGGUUCGGGUUAGGUAACUGAAUCUUGCCUUUAUUAUCGUAUAACAUAUACAUUACGUUCCCCUCUUUUUUCUGCAUCCGAGCUUGCCUAAAUGUGUCAUAGCCAUGAUAAAUUUGUAACUCGUCAAUGAAUUCCAAUGACGAGUUUUCUACCAAAUGAAGACUAGAAGCUAGAAGAGUGAUGAGCGAAGUACAACUGACAGGUCCUUGAAGACUAGGUAUACUAAGCCAAUGAGAAACCAAAAGAGUAACAGGUGAAAUGGGUAUUUUAUUUAUAGCAGCAUAAAGAAGUUGUAAGUCUCCUACUCUUACUUUUCUAAUAUCAUCAUGAUGGAAAAGAUUGUACCCGAGCCAUUUGUGGAACAUCCUAAGAGUGGGGUGUUCCAUGUCGCUGAUUCGGGCUUGACUAUAAAACUCAUCUCUAGAUAUCUCUCUCUAGAACUGGUGUCUCUCAAAAUUGGGCAAGUCGGAGUCAAUGUCCAGUAUGCAUCUUGAAGAGAAACCGAGAUGGUCGCUCAAUUUUCUCCAAGACAACAUAAUGUCCUGUUUGAACAUCCAAAAAGUGAUUCCCCCCUCAUAAUAUUGCAAAGUGCAAAGAAAUUCAAGGGUGAGAAGAUGGGAACCCAGCUCAGUUAUGUCCCAAAAGUUUGUCCAUCCCACCAUCUAGAAAAUCAAGUCAAAUUCGGUAUCCAUACAUGUUUCUUGUAGCAACAUAGGAUCAAGAGUGGGGGUGUGAAUGAAAUCCUUGUUCUUCAGCUGCUGGAAAACUUCCUUCUCCCUGCGGGUCUUCAGUCCAAGGUCUCCUGUCUUAAGGAGAACCUUGACUCGUGUACCUGACGAAGACGAUGGAGCUUGCGGGGGCGUCGGGUCGACGCUCAUCUCCGAUUGGUGCGAAGAGAGUCGGGAUGAACUCCUCGUACCUAUGUUCUUCAGGUCCUUGCCCGUGUUCUUCACCUUCUUGAACAUCCUGCAGAAAGUCGACACAAACACAACUAGUGGAAAAUGUUAAAGGCAGUUGUCCGAAAUGUCAGUAGUCCAGGGGUUAGUCGUCCCAGACAAGUUUUUAUUUUGGCAGCACCUCCCCCUAAGCAACUUUUAAUUCCACUUUGGACAGCAGGAUCACUACUUAAUAAUGAACCUUGCUUUCUUACUCCCAGGCUUCCAAACUCACUUUCACUCUUCUCUUCCCCUCUACUCUCCUUCUCAAUUUACUACUAGAGCUCCUCAGCGAACUGAAGUGUGCGUGGGUUUUCUGGAAUGCUUGUGUGAUGGAGAUGGAGGCAGGAGGUGGCGAUUUAUAGGAGGAAGGGGGGAUAGGGUGGGCGCCCUCUACAGGUGGGCGGGCGCCCACCUUUGGUGGCCAUCCUGGCUGCCCUUUCUCUACUCCCUCCUUUGCUUAGUCUUUACGCCAAAAAAUGACUCAUGGGUGGUGGUUGGUCGGUGGAAAAAUGCUGGUGAGUGGAAACAUGUUUGUGGAUCACAUAAUGUGAUGGGAUAUGUGUGAGGUGCGGUGUAUGAUAUGUGGGACCCAAGGAGUGUGGGUCAUGCUUCUAGAAGGUUGCUAUAAUGGAGGAAAAACUAUGAGAAUUUGAAACUUAUUGAAAAUGAGCAUGGAAAAAUAUUUUUGUGCCUCCACAAUAAUUAAUAAAUGUGGAUUGUCACACACCAUAAAUAUUAUUUAUAUGGGGCUUUUGAUUAUUAUAAUAAUGCUAUGAAUAAAUAUGACUAACACAAGAAUUAAUUAUGCAAGAAUUUAAACGAUGUGGAUAAAUACCGAUUUACCUCCCGGCGAGGGUUUGGGAUUUUUAGGUCUCCCAAGCUGGACCUCCAAAUCUUUUAAUCUUCUGAAUUACCUUCCCCCUGCUUGAAUGUGAAGUGUUCUUGUCCAUUUAUGUUGAACUUGAUUUCUCCCUUCCCGACAUCAAUGUGGGCAUUGGCAGUGCUUGGAAAUGGCCUUCCAAGGAUGAUGGACACUUUUGAGUUGGGACUCAUGUCCAGUACCACGAAGUCUACUAGCACAAGGAAAUCUCUUAUCUUGACUGGGAUGUUUUUAGCGAUGCCCAUCGGGUGUCGAACUGAUUGAUCUCCUAGUCGCAGGCACAUUGAUGUUGGUUCUAGGGUCGUAUGCUCAAGCUUCUUGUAGACUGAUGCUGGCAUCACACUGACACUUGCUUCGAGAUCACAAAGUGCAUUGUUGAAGUGUUGGUUUUCGAUCGAGCAAUCAAUGGUGGGACAUCCUAGAUCCUUCUUCUUCCUUGGUGGUUUGUUGAGCAUGGCCGCACUACAUUCUUCUAUCAGCUUGAUAACCUCAGUGGUGGGCAGUGGUCUCUUCUUGUCAAGAAUAUCUCUGAUGUACUUUGCAUAUGUGGGUACCUGUAUGGCAUCAAGUAGAGGUAUGUUGACAUAUAAUUUUUGAAUGACCUCUACAAACUUACCAAACUGCACAUCCGACUACAGUCCUGUGUUUCUUCGAGGAAAUGGCAAAUAGUUGGUGUCGUGAAAAUCUUUCCUCCUUUCUCCAGCUCUUGGUGGUUGUAGCAGAUCUUCUGCUUCAACUGGGCUUUCUUCUUCUAUCACUGCUGGUUGCACUGGUGCUGAUGUUCUCUGUUUCUCUUUUGGGUAUGGGGGAUCCCUGGUGGCUUUGCCUCCUCUAGUAGUUAUGUUCUUUACCUGCUCAAUGUUAGUGGCAACAAGCAAUGCAGCAGCUAGCUUUAUUAAUUUAAGCUCUACCCUUUUAUUAAGAGUGUUUUGCUCAUCAAAGGCGGUUAAUAGAAAAUCCAUUUUAUUGUGUAUAUCUUUUAGAGAUGAUUCAUUUGUAUCUAACCUUUGUUUAACUUCAUCAUUAGUUUUGGUUUGUUGAGCAAUUAUCUCUUUCAAUGAAAGUUGCUUGAAAGUGUUACCUGAAUUCAUACCUUUGCUAUUGGGUUGACUCGAAGUGGGUUGAUAUUUGUAUACUGUCUCAAUGGCCCUUUGAUCUUCUUUGAACUUGGCCCUCUGGUCAAUCCAAUGGAGCAAAUUUUCCAUCUUGGUUGAUAGAGCAUUCACUUCUUCUAGUAUUUCUUCAGUUUGAUGACAAUGCUGAGCUUUAUAUUGGAACCAGCUUUGAUUUUCUGAUAUCUUAUCCAAAAGCAUCUCUGCUUUUCUGAUUGUAAGCUCCAAGAAUGAUCCUUUAGCAGAUGCAUCUAGGCACUCACAAGCCUUCUAGGUUAAUACAUGGUAGAAGGUCUGCAUAAGUAACCAUCUGGCCAUUCCAUGGUGAGAACAAUCUGAUAUGUAUCCUUGAAAAUGCUCCAAGGCUUCUGAAAUGGUUUCUGUCUUCUACUGUUGGAAACUGAUAAUAUUUCCUCUUAAGGCAGCUGUUUUGCCUAUAGGAAAAAACUUUGAUAGAAAGUCAACUGACAAGUUUGUCUAGUUGUUGAUGUUAUCUUGAUGGGUGUAGAACCUUCCUCGCUUUCCCUUCUAGUGAGAAUGGAAAGAGGCAAAGCAGUAUGACGUCUUUGUCGACUCUGUUGAUGCGGAUUGUGCUUCCAAUUUCUAAGAAAUUCUGCAAGUGUGCACUAGCAUCUUCAUGUGCCUUUCCACUGAAUUGUGUAGCUUGCACCAAAUUGAUGAGGCUUAACUUGAGCUCGAACUCGGGUGCUCCUUCUUCUACUUCAAAUCUUGGACCAGUUGGAAUGUUCUCAAGUCUUGGAGCAGAGAAUUCUUGCAAGGUCUUUUGUGCCAUAGCUUCAGCAAUUGGUAGCUAGCUUCUUCUUUCUUUCUUGAUUGCUUUUGUUCUGAUGAUGAAGAGUUGAAUGUACCAAAGUCAAUCCUGAUAUACCCUGUAUAAAAAUAUAAACAUAGAUAAACAAAAGGGUGAACCUGCCAAAGCAGAGGUGCCUUGUUAUGAUUUCUCAUUAAGUAGCUGUUUAUGCAAUUAUUUCUCCAUAGUCUAGUCUAAUAUUUUAUGUGAAUAACCUUGACUGACUUCCUGACUUUCCUUACCGCUCCCCGUCAACGGCGCCAGAAAUGCUUGUUGACACUUGCUAACACCACUUGAAUACUAGGUUGUCAUCCCCAGCAUGGCACUAGAGUGUACUAAGGUAUUUAUGAAUAUGAAGGCUCUCUAGAAAAUAAUCUAUUAUAUCCGCAAGCGCACAGAUAAAAUACCUCAUUGUAGCAUUUCACCGGGAAAAGUAUCCCGGGUAUCGUUAGUUAUAUUUUGCUUAAGAGAACGGUGAAAGUGAAAGCAGGGGUAAAAUCUAUCAAGGCAUAGACUAGAGAUAAACUUGCAAUAACAUGAUUACUAACGAGAAACUCAUCACACAGUCACUUGCUUUAGCAGGGAGUAAGCCAUAAAGAUAAUGAAAAAUAAGCUCAUGGGUAAAUAACACAGCGAUUAGAAAUAGACUACUCCACAUAAAUGUAAGGUGACGUCGGAUUAGCUAGAGAAUGGAUUCUGAGUAUCUACUAUCUACUAAGUCACAAUCUACUCUAGUUAUCUACAAGAUCAUAUAUAGCACAAAAGACUCUUUAUUCAUGUAUAAGGAACAUUGCUAAAGUAAAUCAGAACAUAGCAAGACUUAUUCCGCAUACAAAUUCUGUCUGUCCUAUCAACGGAGGGUGGACUAUAAAAGAAUCAACGAAGCUGUUACCAUCACGAACUACCACAUGACCCGACCAAUAGGAUACAUUUGCAGGUAAAUAAUAUCUAAGCACCACGCCCACAUAUGAUCAACCACUUAGCUCCAUCGAGUCAAGAGCUAAGCGCUUUGCAAACUUAUACAUGAACUCAUUAUCAAUCAUAACUAUAUCAAAUAUAGAACUAGGGCAAACUAAGAACAUAAUAAAUAGAGACAUAAUGCAAUUAGAAUAAAGUAGUAGAGAAAGAUAUGAAAUAAUACCAAAAUCUAGAGCGCUAGGCUCUACUUCUCUAAUUCUAUCUAAUCAAUCCUAUAGAACUUGAAGGAUUUGGGAGUAGCUAGUUCUAAUUCUCUGCGGGAGAGAAGUUCUAAAACCAUAACUUUGAUGGCUUCCUCUGAUAAUGAUUUCUCCUCUUCCCUUGGGGUGGAGAGGCCAUGCUUAUAUAGCCCCCUCAAAUGAAUGUGAGCCGUCGGAUCAAACCGACAUUAAUCGCACGGUUAUUCUUGAAGAUUAUAGGCGGUGGAGCACGAUCCGCGAGACCUGUCCUGAUUGGUCACUAGGGCAGGGCGGGCGCCCAAGGGGGGAGGGUGGGCGCCCUGCCCCUGGGCCCGCUCGGCCUCCCAUUCGUUCCCGUAGCUUAUGGACUCUUCUUGCUUGAGGAAAAUUGCCGCACACGUAAUUAUCUCAUUGUUAACCUGACGUGUGGGCCUUCUCUCCAUAUUUUCUGAUAACCCCCUAUAGAAAUAGACAAACACCAAAACUCGUGGAAUUCUGUCAGAUAAAACCCUAAUUCUAGAUGUUUGGUGCAUAUUGAUCCUUUUCCAUGUUUAGUUGACGGUUAAAUUUAGUACUUAAGGACCGUCAACAGUGACCCAUGCCUGCUCAAGUAGAUUUAUUUCUUUAUUCUUUAUUUAUUAUUUCUCUUCUAUUUUAUCCUUGAGGUUGAUCCAAUGUGUGUCCACUAUCUUGAAUAUCAUGUUUAUUCCUGUUUACUCUAUGUCUACCAAGCAUUCAAUAAGUAAUCAUGUUUACACCAUGUUUGAUCCCUUUGACUUCCUACGGGAAUUAUAAAUUCAACACCCUUGAAUACUCACGAGUUGAAAUGCUACAAUGAUAGUUCUAUCCGCUUGCAGUUAUAUUACUUCUUCAUUCAUGAACUACCGAUUGGCGUACCUAAGUAUCAUUACUUAAGAUUGUAAUCCUUGUGCACUUUCAAGCGUAGUGCCACAGCUUUGCAUAUUGCAAGUAAGGAUGGUUAGGACGGCCAAUCCGGCAUUCCUAAUUAUUGUUACCUAACUGCACUGCUAUGGCCGGCGCCCUCGAGUUGCCUUGGGUUAUCUCUCUGAUGUAGCGAUAGUUACGGUAUGCCAACACCCGACAUUUCUGAUGCUAUUGCUAAGGAUGGAUCUAUGGUCUAUUUUUAGUAGUGACGUUAAGAAAUGCCAACAAGCAUUUCUGGCGCCGUUGCUGGGGAAGGCAAAAAUCAUACUGGCAUAAACAUUGAUUACAUAAUAAGCAUUGGUAGCCAUAGAUUAAGUAGGAUAACUUUACUGUUUUCUUCCUCUUUUUAUUGGAAUGAAAACAGGAUAGUGUAUUAGUGGUUUCAACUUGCCGGCAAACUUCCACAGUGAUCCAGAAACACUCCUAAAGAAGAGAAGGGUUCGUACCGUCUCUUCUUCUGCUACGCAACCGGCACGCGAAUCAACCUUUCCAGCACCAACCGCACCAAUCGCUAUGGCCAAGCCACUCCAUGACUACUCCACUCCCGCUGUUGCCAACGUGCCGACUAGGCCCGUUGUCAAUAUGGGGAAUGGGAGCUUCAAGAUCCACACUGGCCUCAUCUCUAUGGUGCAGGCAAGCCAAUUAUGUGGCUUGCCAAGCGAGGAUGCCAACGCCCGCCUUUAGAACUUCCUUGAGCUGUGUGACACCGUUGUCAUCAAGGACGUCGCGCAGAACAGCAUCAGGCUCCAUCUGUUUCCCUUUUCCCUCGUCGGAAAGUCGAAACAAUGGUUUUAUUAGAACAAGGAAGCUGUUGACACAUGGGACAGCACUCCUCGCCAAGUUCUUCCCCAUGAGCAGGACCAGCGCUCUGAGGGGGAAGAUCUCUAACCUCCAGCAGUCUUCACUUGAGUCCAUACCCGAAGCAUGGGAGAGGCUCCAAGAGUACAUCCGGGCCUAUCCUCAUCAUGGAAUGGAAGACUGGCUUGUGCUCCAGAACUUCUAUGAAGGCCUCAUGGCCAUGUCAAAGGGGCACGUAGAUACCGCAGCUGGAGGUGCAUUCCUUUCUCUCACCAUUAACGAAGCUACUGCCCUCAUCGAGAAGAUGGUGGAAAAUCAAAGCUGGGGAGAAGGAAGGAAAACACAAAAAGGCUCGCAAUCUGCGAAUGAGACAGAUGUGCUUGCCGCAAAAAUAGACUUGCUGCUGCAAAGGAUGGACGGACAAGUUGCAAAUCCCAACAUGGGCACCGUCCAAGCAGUGAACUCACACACAUCGUGUGAAGUUUGUGGUGAUGAUGGCUAUUCGAGGAACAAUUGCCCCAAAACCCAAGAAGAAGUAGCAUAUGUCAACAAUGGGUUUCGUCCACCACAGCAAGGUAACAACGGGUGGAACAAUCAGCACCGCCCGCAGGGUAAUUUCUUCAAUCAGCCUUCCUUGAAAGAUCUGGUCCUAGGGCAAGCUAAAAUCAAUGAGAAUCUAACCAAGAAGCUGUCCUACAAAGACAAGAUCAUUGAGAACAUCAACGCCAAGCUUGAAACUCUUUUUUCAUCUGUCAAAAGUCAGACGAGUUUCAACAAGAUGAUAGAAACAUAGAUAGCACAGAUAGCUGCAUCAAUUCCAGUCACUGACACAGAGAGGAUCCCUGGGCAACCAGAAACCUCUACUGAGUUCAUGCAACCAUAGAAGAAUGAAGGAAGGAGAGUCUUGCCAACGGACUAUAAAUGUUGAGCCCUUGCCGAAGGCAUUCGGUAGUUAUCUAAAAAAACUAUAUAUAAUAAAAAUAAAUUUUGUGCUAUUUGUGUCCCAAUAAAGAUAUCUGAAGGGGGCCCACGACAUCAAGCAAGCUUGGGGGAGGUGUCCCCGCUCAGGUAAUAUGUCUUUCUAAAUUCAUUAAAUAUUGUUUUAAUUUCCCUUUUUAUAGAAAGUUUUUAUUUUUAGUUUCCAAAAGUUUCCCUUUCUAUAGUUUUAUUUUUAGUCAAAAAUAAAGUUUCUCUGAAAAUCUUAUAAAAAUUAUUUUCUGGUAGUAUAGAUUUCCCCAUUUCCAAAUCUUAUUUUUAUAUAAUUUUUGAAAACCAAAAAUAUUUUGAAUAAAUAUGUGGAAAAUCAAAAUCUGGAGCAAGAUUUCGAACCAAGUCUGAUCGUAACCAGAGAGACGUUUGGGGUGACCGUUGGAGCCAGCAGCCAAAAGGCCGAGCAGAGGCGGGCCCACCACUGGUGCGGGCGCACCCUGCCCAAGGCCUGCUGGCCUCGGCCUUUGCGCAACGGCUAGUAGCCGUUGAGGGGGGCGCUCCCCCGCAUGCAAUCAGCUCUAUAAAUAGAGAGGAUCCUGGGUGGAGCACCUCACCCCUCUCACACACAUUUUUUACUCUCCCCUUCUUCACUCUCUUGCUCCACUUUGCUUCAUUGCCUACUCCACAAGCUUAGUGCAAGAAAAUUCUAUAAAAAACCUCUUGCACACUUCCCUCUCCAAGCAAAAACACCAUACACUUGUGCUAGCUCGUCCACCAUGAAUAGAAUUUUCAGGCUUAGAAGGAGCCACCACCAACAUGGGGAAGAUCUACCAACCCCUGCAAGGAACGAGCAGCCGACACAUGGAGGAGAGGAGGAGGAGCCACACGGCCACGCCAUUGACGAGGCCGAUGCCCCCUUCAUCGACUUGGAGACCGAGCGGGAGAUGCAGGCAUACAACCUCAUGAAGGAACGCGAGUUCUUCCAUUCACCGGCAUUCGACCCCUCAUUCUUGCACCAAAAAGGUAUGGAUGUUGAGUUUGAUACUAUUUUUGAGCAUCUUGGUUGGAGUAGAGUUGCCCCCGUUCAUGAGCUUGGGUCACGUCUUUUGACGAUGCAAAUUUUGGGCACUCUACAAAUUGUCGAUUAUGGUAUUACCUUCCGUUGCUUUGGAAGAGAUUUUGGUAUUUAUUGGAAGGAUCUUACCAACCGUUUGGGUUUCCACGAGCGGUGCUCCAUUGACUUAGGUUUCUCCCUCGGGGUUACCAACGUCAUGCUUUCUGGCAUUUGAUCUCGGGGCAACGCGUCGUUGGAAAAUUUCAGGGGCAUUCUGCCAACAUCCAUCACCCCACUCUGAGGCUUCUCCAUAAGUGGAUCGCUAGUUCGUUCUUUUCAAGAGAUGAUACGCAUCUUACUUACGGCAUAGAGUUGAAGUUGCUUUAUGCUGCGCUCAAAAAUAUUAAGGUUGCACCUGUUGUUGAGCUUGUUAAUCAUUAGUUGCAUUCCAUUAAGACUUCAACUGGUAUCAUGUUCACAUCUCUUAUUACUCGCCUUGCUGCAAGUGUUGAUCCCCAUGCUGCUAAUACCAUUAUUUACAUCACUACUCCUCGCAUCAUGAUUAAUGAAUCACAUAUUUCGCAUGCACAUAUGAAUAAACGCGAUGAAACAGGUAAAAAGAUUUUAUAUUAUUUUCCGGGAUAUAUAAACGAGAUCUAGUUACCUAACCCAGAUCUCGCUCUGUAUAAUUCCCCGUCACUCACCUUCACCCUCAUUGAGAGGGAAGGAGGACGUAGGAGCUCUGUUUCUCGUAGGAACUCACAGAGGAGGGAACAAGAAGAGUAGGCAGCACAAGCAGCAAGGGCAACACAGGCAGCACAACCAGCACCAUCCGCGUUGCCAGCACAGCACACUCCACCACCAGCUAUGCCAGGGAUGGGAUGCACCCCUACUAUACCUGCACCCGGAUUUACCCCUGGGUAUGGAUAUGGUACGGGAUACGUUCCUCACCCCUACAAGGCUGGAGGUUCGAGCUAGUAGGUAGGAGGGUCGAGAUGGCACGCACACGGAGGCGCAGGCCCAAGCGAGCCAGAGGCAUAUGGGGUAGGGGGAUCCAGGCAUCACGAGCCAGGACACUCCUCAGAUUCCAAGGGAAUGCCACCCCCUAUUCGCCCUCACAUCACACUGGACGUCCUCAACACUCGCAUGGGAGGACUGGAGCUCCAGAACAGGCAGAUCCAAGGUACGCUGAAUGCCCACAUCCAGACUGCUACCCAAUGGCAUCAGCAGACCCAGCAGAGCUUUAUCGACCUUGAGGAUGCAAGUCGUCGCCGGCACGAGGCACAGAUGGCCUACCUGCGAUCCAUGGGACAUUUCCCUGGACCGCAGCAGUGAGCUAGCUUGGGGGAGGACCCCCACAAGAGAUAACAUGUAUCUUACACUCUUGCACUUAAGUUUAGUUCUUAAUUUCAGUAUUUAAAUUUCAGCAAUUUUUCAUCAUCUUUCAAAAAAAAUCCACUCUCAUGCACGCUAUGGUAUGUUAGUUUCUCUUCUGUUGAAAUGAUGAAUAGUUGCUCUAUAUAUAAUUCUCUAGUAUCUAAGUUAUAAUUUAGUGUUCAUCAAGAUUUAAGUUUCUUGGCUAAAAAUGUCUCAUUCUGAGAACUUGAAAUCUUGUGGGUUGCAAAUGCAUGAUCAUUUUCUAUGCCCAUGCGAGACAUGAUAUGGUAUAAAUAAUUUUUGAUAUGACUUUGUUCUAAGAGAAACUUGACAUCCAGAGUUUUCUUUUCAAAAAUUCAAAGCAAAGAGUUCCUCAAUGAUUAUGAAAUAUCUACCAAGGCCAUAUGACUUGCUUAGUAGUUUGUACACCUUUAGUCAUAUGCAGCUUGGUGCGCUUUGAGUUGAGUCGAAUCCCAGGUAUCCUAGAGUGAGAUUAUAGUCAUGCACCCAUGAUAUGAGAUUCACGCACCCACCAACUAAAGCCGACUCUCACACUGGGAAGUUGCGCACAACAUGCACCCUUCCAUCCACCAAAAAUAUGCCAACUCUUACCCUGAGAGUUGCACCUUAGAUUCCACCAAAUAAGUAUGCCAAACUCUCACCCUGAGGUUUGUGCAUCCCCAUACAAAAUUUUACUCCUUACAUCACCAUCAUGACAUCUCUCCAUUUUCCUCUUUGAGAUCCCUUUGAAACAUGUAGGCAUCAGUUAUCCAUGCCAAAGGGCAUGGACGGGAAAAUCAAAAUCCCCGUCAGAAAUAUAUAUAUAUAUAUAUAUAUAUAUAUACAUAAUUGAUCCAUAUUUUUUGGGCCCAUAUGUUUACAUUCUCUCAUUAUCAUCCUCACAUAAGGAGAGUCAUGACACAAGGAGUAACCAAAAAUAUGUAGAUAGGACUACCACCAAAAAUUCCACACACAUGCACAUCUCAAUCAAGGUGUAUGACUUGUAUCUCCUCAUGGUCCGGGCUUUGACUUGGCAACACAAGUGUCGUAAGUACGCCCACCUUUAUACCUUCCCAAAGCUCCAUUCUGAGCCUUAGUGGUAGGUCUUAAAGGCAAACACAAAUGCCUUGGGUGAGGAUUUCAUACACAUUGAGCGAUCGAGAGAAUCAUUCGAGGAACUUAUUUAUUUUGCAAAAAAUUAUAAAACCUCCGGAUUGAUGGUCUAUCAAGGGAUGAAUGAAUGGUGAGUCUGUUACAACCAUUCUAUCUUGCAUCCAAUCAAGAACUGGGAAAAGCUAUAAGCCCCAUGAGAAGUCAAGGUAAAGAGUGGAUAUCAUGCCAACUUAUUUAAAUUGUGAAUGAAUGCUUUGUUAUAGGUAUGACACUCUUGAAUUAUAUCGGCAUAGUAACAACUCCUGAUCAACAGCCAUACUUAAUUAUUUGCUAGAGAUGAGCAAAGGUUAAGCUUGGGGGAUUUGUUGGCAGUCAUUAUUGACCAAUUAUAAACUGCCAACUUGAUCCAAAGGGAGAAGAAGCAAUCAUAUUAUAUACACACAUGCAUUUUAUUCCUAUCAAGUUCCACUUGUACCAUAGUGAUUAUAUUUUGUAGGAAUUAUAGUGCAACAAGUGAAAAUGUGACAUACCACGAAGAAAGCGCAAAAUACCAAAAGACGUAUUCAGAAAUGCGCAAACCAAGAAAAUAAAGAAAGGCCCGAACAACGUAGAACUGGGCCCGAUCGUAACCACGGGAGAGAUCCAAGCCUAGAGCCAAACUGACCAUGCGAAGGCGAUGGCCAGGGGGACCCACCCAGGGUGCGGGCGCACCCCUGGAGGCGGUAAACCGGGCCCAUCUUUCUCACGCGGUUGCAUGCCGCCAUGCAUAGGACGGUUUCACCUACUACCAAAUUUACAUGCGACGAACCGUCCUAGUUCCAUUAUAAAAAGAGAUGCACUCCCCCCUUUUCAACACACACAUCAUUUGGAGUCAAUUUACCUAACACCUCUCACUUGUAUCUUUAGUCUAGAUUAGUAGUAGAGCAAGACAAGAGCUAGCAAGGAGAGCUUGUUGUUGACACUAGCUAACACCACUUAGAUACUAGGUUGUCAUCCCUAGCAUGGCGCCAGAGUGUACAAAGGUAUUUAUAAAUGUAAAGGCUCUCUAGAAAAUAAUCUAUUCUAUCCGCAAGCGCACAGAUAAAACACCUCAUUGUAGCAUUUCACCAGGAUAAGUAUUCCAGGUAUGGUUAUUUAUAAUUUUGCUUAGGGGAUCUAAAGAAGAUGGAAUUAAAUCAAGGGACAAAAUCUAUCAAGGCAUAGACUAGAGAUAAACUUACAAGAACAUGAUUACUAAUGAGAAACUCGUCACACAGUCACAUACUUUAGCAGGGGGUAAACCAUAAAGAUAAUGAUAAUAAAGUAUAAGUUCAUGGGAUAAAGAGCACAGCGAUUAGAAAAUAGACUACUCCUCAUAUAUGUAGGUGAUGUCGGAUUAGCUAGAGAAUGGAUUCUAAGUUAUCUACUAACUACUAAGUCAUAAUCUACUCUAGUUAUCUACAAGAUCAUAUAUAGCAUAAAAGACUCUUCAUUCAUGUAUAAGGAACAUUGAUAAAGUAAAUCAGAACAUCGCAUGACUUACUCCACAAUACCGGUUCUGCCUGUCCUAUCAACGGAGGGUGGACUAUAUAAGAAUCAACGAAGCUGUCACUAUCGCGAACUACCACACGACUCGGCCAAUAGGAUACAUUUGCAGAUAAAUAACAUCUAAGCACCACGCUCACAUGUAAUCUAUCACCUAACUCCCUCGCGUCAAGAGCUAAGCGCUUUGCAAACUUAUACAUAAACUCAUUAUCAAUUAGAACUAUAUCAAAUAUAGAACUAGAGCAAACUAAGAACAUAAUAAUUAGAGACAUAAUGCAAUUAGAACAAUAGAAUUAGAGAAAGAUAUGAAUAAUAACAAUCUUUAUUACCGAAGAUCCGAAUCCAGAGCGUAGUGCUCUACUUCUCUAAUUGCUAUCUAAUCAACCUCUAAACUUGAAGGAUUAGGGAGUAGCUAAUUCUAAUUCUCUGUGGGAGAGAAGCUCUAAACCCUAACUUUGAUGGCUACCUCUGAAUAAUGAUUUCUCCUCUCUCCUCCAGGGGCCAGGGGGUCUGGUUUUAUAGUCCCCUCAAGUGAACGUGAGCCAUUGGAUCAAACCGACAUAGAUUGUAUGGUUUAGAUUGAUCCUUUAGGUCGGUGGAGUCUUGCCCCGAAACAGAGUCCUGAUCCAACUCCUGGCCAGGGCGGGCGCCCAAGGGGGGUGGGCGGGCGCCCUGCCCCCGAGCCCGAAUUGCUUUCCGUUCGUUCCCGUGGCUUCUGGAUCCUUCUAGAUUGAGGAAAAUUGCACGGCACGUAAUUAUCUCGUUGUAAACAUGACAUGUGGGCCUUCUCUCCAUAUUUUCUGAUAAACCCCUGCAGAAAUAGAUAAACACCAAAACUCGUGGAAUUCUAUGAGAUAAAACCCUAAUUCUAGAUGUUUGUUUCAUAUUGAUCCUUUUUCAUGUUUAUUUGAUUAUUAAUUUUAGUACUUAAGGACCGUCAACAAACUCCCCCAAGCUUACCCUUUGCUCGUCCCUGAGCAAACAGCUAAACUCAUACGGAUCAGGAGUUGCUUCGAUGUUUUCUUUCCUGACAGGCACACAUGCUUUUACAUAAAAAUUCUUCCAGAUUAGAGUGAAGUGUUAUGGAGUUUAGUACCUGCACUUAAAUCUUAAGUAAUCGAAAGACAAAAUAGUUAAGUCAAGCACUAUCCCUCUUGUCUAUACUUCACCUUUGUUCCAGAGUUUUUCAUAAGUUUUCAAAAAUAAAACUCAGAGUUCCCAGCAAUGAUUCUCUCAAGUCUCUCUAUAUGUGGUAUUUGUGGAUCCUUACCAUGAUAUCACUUACCUAUAGCUAAUGGAAUAUUUAAGUGGAGCUCAUAGGAGUGAAAAACAGCUCAUACAUAUGUUGUCUAAUCGAGCCAUGGAUCCAAAGAAACUCAGCAUAUAAUUAAAUUAAGAUGUGCAUGUGUGAUGGAGUAAAUGAUAGUGAUGGUGAAGAUAUAUAAAUAAAACUUAGUUCUCAUUGUUCCUUAUAUUGCUAUCUCUCCUCUUCUUUGAUCUUUGCUUUUGGAGAACAUGGGCUAUCUUCUCUCUUUUUUUUCAGGUGGGUAGUAGAUACCCCUAAUUCUACUGUCGGACACUUGUCCAUUUUUUCCGCUCAAGUGGGCAUCUUUGUACCCCUAAUUCUACUUUGGACACUUGUCCAUUUUUACCUAUCGUCUCACUCUUUUUCUUUCUUUUUCGAGGUUCCGGGCACUUGCCCCUUUUUAUUUCCUCGUAUAUUUUUGCAUAACCCAUGCCUCUUCUGCAUUGAAUCUUUUUUUAGAGAGAGAGAGACAAUAACAAUAUUCGGGACAGUGAGUGAAAAUAUUUUUAGCAAUCUUUAAUGAUUGAUGAUGAAUGCUGUGGUAGAUGUGUGCAAGUGAAUAUCUUAAUUUAACCACAUGAAAAGCUCCUAAGGGUCUACACAGCUCGAUCAAACUCAAUGUGAAUAUAGUAAAAGAUGUUAUAGCAAGUAUGGCUGUGGUAGGUAGUUUUGUUAUGCUAGGAACUCAUCAUGUGAUUUGUAAGUUUUCAAAAUAAGUCUCUAGAACUUAGUGUAGUAGGAACAAGAUAAACAGUAGCUCAACUUUAUAUCAUGCCUUUCUCUUACCUAGGCUUUAGUUUUUAUGCUUCCCAAAGAUAGUAAUUUUAGUUUUAGUAAUUCCUGGAAGAACUCUAAUAUAAAAGCUAGGUACUUGUAAGUAAGCAAACAGAGCAACUGUUCAUCAUUUCCAUCAUGCAUCUUUUUGGUUAUUUAUAUUUUUUUUUAGAUAAAUUAAAUAGUAAAACAGAAUAGAAUAAAUAAGAAGAGCAAAUAGAAACUUACUUGAUAAAUUUGGGAGGAACUCCCCCAAGCUGGAUAUUGACGUCGGUCUUACCCGAUGUUCCAUAACCGCAUCAUGGUUGUGAUGUUGUCGUUCAUUGUUGUUGUAUCUUGUCUUAGCUCUUCUACUGCAGCGGCAUGGUCCUGGUUCCAUUUUUGUUGCUCUUCCAGGAGUCUUCCAUGUUCUGCUUGCGUGUUCUGGAUGUCGAGGAGGGUGUUGUCGGUACGAGUGAAGAAAGCACCGGCCUCUUGAUAGUAGUCAUUCGUGAAAGCAUAGGAGGCGUCGGAGUAUCGUCCUGCAUCAAAUUGGGGUGGAGGUCUGGAUCCUGAAGCUCCAUAUGGAUCAGUGGAGUACCUGCCCGUAUGAAAAGGCGGGUUUGUCCACUGGUGAUCUUGGCUCUCCGGCCAUGUCUCCUCUGUUGGCUCUUGUGGUUGCGCAUGACGAGCCCAUGGGUCUCGAAGGACUCGAGGGUUGUAAUCGCAAUAAUGCAGGUGCACUGCUUCUUCUUGUCCAGGGUCAGCUCCAUACCAAGUGCGUUCUCGGUGAGUGGUUAUCCUUUCAGAUGCCACUCACUGUGGAGUCCUCUGGUUCACUGGUGUUGCUGCAAUCUCAAUCAAAAAGUUUUGAACAACGUAGAGGCCAAGGUUCGGGUUAGGUAACCGAAUCUUGCCUUUAUCAUCAUAUAACAUAUACAUUAUAUUCCCCUCUUUCUUUAACAUCUGAGCCUGUCUAAAUGUGUCAUAGCCAUGAUAAAUUCUUAACUCUUCUAUGAAGUCCAGUGACGAGUUUUCUAGUAAGUGAAGAUUAGAGGCUAGACGAGUGAUAAGUGAAGUACAUCCUACUGGUCCCUGAAGACUAGGUAUACUAAGCCAAUGUGAAACUAAUAGUGUAACAGGUGAAGUGGGUACUUUACUAAUAGCAGCAUAUAAAAGUUGUAAAUCUCCUACUCUUACUUUCCUAAUAUCAUCGCGAUAGAAAAGAUUGUACCCAAGCCAUUUGUGAAAUAUCCUAAGAGUGGGGUGUUCCAUGUCACUGGUUCGGGCUUGACUGUAAAAAUUAUCUCUAGAUAUUUCUCUCCAAAACUAGUGUCUCUCAAAAAUGGGUAAAUCGGAGUCAAUGUUCAGGAUGCAUCUUGAAGAGAAACCAAGAUGGUCGCUCAGCUCUUUCCAACAUAACAUAAGUUCCUGUUUGAACAUCCGAAAAACAAUUCCCCCUCAUAGUAUUGUAAAGUGCAAAGAAAUUCGAGGGUGAGAAGACGAGAACCCAGCUCAGUUAUAUUCCAAAAAUUUGUCCAACCCAUCAUCUGAAAAAUUAAGUCGAAUUCAGUGUCCAUACCUGUUUCUCGUAGUAGGAUUGGAUCGAGAGUAGGGGUAUGAAUGAAAUCUUUGUUCUUCAGUUGCUGAUAGACUUCCUUCUCUCUUCGGGUCUUCAGUCCAAGGUCUCCUAUCUUAAGAAGGACCUUGACUUGCUGACCUGAUGAAGAUGAUGGAGCUUGUGUGGGUGUCGAGUCGACGCUCACUUCUGAUGGCUGUGAGGAGUGUCGGGCGGAACUCCUUGUACCAAUGUUCUUGAGAGCCUUCCCUGCAUUCUUCACCUUCUUAAACAUCCUGCAAAAGUUGGCAAAAACACAACUGGUGGAAAAUGUGAGAUAAAAUGUUAGUGGUCAGCUGUCUGGAGUGUCAGCAGUCCAGGGGUUAAUCGUUCAAGACAAGUUUCUAUUUUGAUAGAGCCUCCCCCUGAACAACUUUUAUUUCUGCUUGGACAGCGGGAUCACUACUUGCUAGGUGAUAAAUACUCUCUCAAAAGAUCUCCAACCUUCUCUUCCACUCUCCUCUUUCUCUCUACUCUCUUCUCUUCACUACAAGAACUCCUUCUCGGGAAACUGAAACUUGUGUGGUUUUAUGGAGUGUUUGUGUGAAGAGAAGGGGAGCUGGAGGUGGCCUUUUAUAGGAGGAAGGAGGGACAGGGCGGGCGCCCUUGGUAGGUGGGCGGGCGCCCUCUUAUGAUGCCCAUCCUGGGUGUGCCUCCUCCACUUGCUUCCUUGCUUUGAUCUCACGCAGAAUAAUGUUGUGUUGGUAGUGGUUGGACGGUGGAAAGAUGUCAGGUGAGUGGAAACAUAUUGGUGGAUGAAAUUAUGUGAUGGGAUGUAUGUGAGGUGAAGUGUAUGACAUGUGGGACCCAAAGAGUGCGGGUCCUGCUUCUAGAAGAUCAAUAUAAAUAAAUAUAAUGCAGGAAAAUCUAUGAGAGUUGAAACUUAAUGAAAAUGAUAUUGGAAAAUAUUUUUGUGCCUCCACAAUAAUUAAUAAAUAUGGGUUGUUACACACCACGAAUUUUAUUUAUAUGGGGCUUUUGAUUAUUAUAAUAAUGCUAUGAAUAAAUGUGACUAAUGCAAGAUUUAAUUAUGCAAGAAUUAAAUAUGAGAAAAUUAAUAAUGCAGAUAAAUACCGAUUUACCUCCCGGUGAGGGUUCGGGAUUUUUAGGUCCCCCAAGCUGGACCUCCAAAUCUUUUAAUCUUCUGAGUUACCUUCCUCCGGAGAUGGUGUCUCCAGUGGUUCUUCAUGAACUUCCUUCACUGUAGAGUCCCUUUCUAGUCUGGGUUUGAAUGUGAAGUGUUCUUCUUGACCGUUUAUGUUGAACUUGAUUUCUCCCUUCCCGACAUCAAUGUGGGCAUUGGCAGUGCUCAGAAAUGGCCUUCCAAGGAUGAUGGACACUUUCGAGUCAGGACUCAUGUCCAGUACUACGAAGUCUACUGGCACAAGGAAAUCUCUGAUCUUGACUGGAAUGUUCUCGGCGAUGCCCAACGGGUGUCGAACCGAUUGAUCCGCUAGUUGUAGGCACAUUGAUGUUGGUUCUAAGGUUGCAUGCUCAAGUUUUUUGUAGACUGAUGCUGGCAUCACACUGACACUUGCUCCGAGAUCACAAAGUGCAUUGUUGAAGUGUUGGUUUCCGAUCGAGCAAUCAAUAGUGGGGCAUCCUGGAUCUUCCUUCUUCUUUGGUGGUUUGUUGAGGAUGGCCGCACUACAUUCUUCUGUCAGCUUGAUAACCUCAGUGGUGGGCAGUGGUCUCUUCUUGUUAAGAAUAUCUCUGAUGUACUUUGCAUAUGUAGGUACCUGUAUGGCAUCGAGCAGAGGUAUGUUGACAUAUAAUUUCUGAAUGACCUCUACAAACUUACCAAACUGCUCAUCCGACUGCAGUCCUCUGUUUCUUCUGGGAAAUGGCAAAUAGUUGGUGUCGUAAAAAUCUUUCCUCAUUUCUCCAGUUCUUGGUGGUUGGAGCAGAUCUUCUGCUUCAACUGGGCUUUCUUCUUCUAUCACUGCUGGUUGCACUGGUGCUGAUAUUCUUUGUUUCGCUUUUGGGUAUGGUGGAUCUCUGGUGGCUUUUCCUCCUCUAGUAGUUAUAUUCUUUACCUUUGCUAUUGGGUUGACUCGAAGUUGGUUGAUAUUUGUAUGCUGUCUCAAUGGCCCUGUGAUCUUCUUUGAACUUGGCCCUCUGGUCAAUCCAAUGGAGCAAAUUCUCCAUCUUAGUUGAUAAUGCUUUUACUUCUUCUGGUAUUUCUUCAGUUUGAUGACAUUGUUGAGCUUUAUCUUGGAACCAGCUUUGAUUUUCUGUUAUCUUAUCCAAAAGUAUCUCUGCUUUUCCAGUUGUAAGCUCCAAGAAUGAUCCUUUAGCAGAUGCAUCUAGGCACUCACGAGCCUUCUGGGUUAAUCCAUGGUAGAAGGUCUGCAUAAGUAACCAUGUGGCCAAUCCAUGGUGAGGACAAUCUGAUAUGUAUCCUUGAAAACGCUCCCAUGCUUCUGAAAUGGCUUCUGUCUUCUGCUGUUGGAAACUGACAAUAUUUCUUCUUAAGGCAGUUGUUUUACCUAUAGGGAAAAACUUUGAUAGAAAGGCAUCUGACAAGUUCGUCCAGUUGUUGAUGUCAUCUUGAUGAGUGUAGAACCACUUCCUCGCUUUUCCUUCUAGUGAGAAUGGAAAGAGGCGAAGUAGUAUGACGUCUUUGUCAACUCCGUUGAUGUGGAUUGUGCUUCCAAUCUCUAAGAAAUUCUGCAAGUGUGCACUGGCAUCUUCAUGUGCCUUUCCACUAAAUUGUGUAGCUUGUACCAAAUUGAUGAGGCUUGACUUGAGCUCAAACUCGGGUAUUCCUUCUUCUACUGCAAAUCUUGGACCAGUUGGAAUGUUGUCAAGACUUGGAGCAGAGAAUUCUUGCAAGGUUUUUUGUGCCAUAGCUUCAGCAAUUGGUAGCUAGCUUCUUCUUCUCUUGAUUGCUUUGGUUCUGAUGAUGAAGAGUUGAAUGUACCCAAAGUCAAUCCUGUUAUACCCUGUAUAAAAAUAUAAACAUAGAAAAACAACAGGGUGAACCUGCCAAAGCAGCGGUGCCUUGUUAUGAUUUCUCACUUAGUAGCUGUUUUCUGCAAUUAUUUCUCUAUAGUCUAGUCUAAUGUUUUGUGUGAAUAAUCCUUGAUUGAUUUUCUGGCUUUCCUUAAUAUUACUCUUUUGUUCCCUUUUAUGACUUAUUCCUGAGACUCGUAUAAAUCCUAUAAGUCCCCGGCAACGGCGCUAGAAAUGCUUGUUGACACUAGCUAACACCACUUAGAUACUAGGUUGUCAUCCCUAGCAUGGCGCCAGAGUGUACAAAGGUAUUUAUAAAUGUAAAGGCUCUCUAGAAAAUAAUCUAUUCUAUCCGCAAGCGCACAGAUAAAACACCUCAUUGUAGCAUUUCACCAGGAUAAGUAUUCCAGGUAUCGUUAUUUAUAAUUUUGCUUAGGGGAUCUAAAGAAGAUGGAAUUAAAUCAAGGGACAAAAUCUAUCAAGGCAUAGACUAGAGAUAAACUUGCAAGAACAUGAUUACUAAUGAGAAACUCGUCACACAGUCACAUACUUUAGCAGGGGGUAAACCAUAAAGAUAAUGAUAAUAAAGUAUAAGUUCAUGGGAUAAAGAGCACAGCGAUUAGAAAAUAGACUACUCCUCAUAUAUGUAGGUGAUGUCGGAUUAGCUAGAGAAUGAAUUCUAGGUUAUCUACUAACUACUAAGUCAUAAUCUACUCUAGUUAUCUACAAGAUCAUAUAUAGCAUAAAAGACUCUUCAUUCAUGUAUAAGGAACAUUGAUAAAGUAAAUCAGAACAUCGCAUGACUUACUCCACAAUACCGGUUCUGCCUAUCCUAUCAACGGAGGGUGGACUAUAUAAGAAUCAACAAAGCUGUCACUAUCGCGACCUACCACACGACUCGGCCAAUAGGAUACAUUUGCAGAUAAAUAACAUCUAAGCACCACGCUCACAUGUAAUCUAUCACCUAACUCCCUCGCGUCAAGAGCUAAGCGCUUUGCAAACUUAUACAUAAACUCAUUAUCAAUUAGAACUAUAUCAAAUAUAGAACUAGAGCAAACUAAGAACAUAAUAAUUAGAGACAUAAUGCAAUUAGAACAAUAGAAUUAGAGAAAGAUAUGAAUAAUACCAAUCUUUAUUACCGAAGAUCUGAAUCCAGAGCGUAGUGCUCUACUUCUCUAAUUGCUAUCUAAUCAACCUCUAAACUUGAAGGAUUAGGGAGUAGCUAAUUCUAAUUCUCUGUGGGAGAGAAGCUCUAAACCCUAACUUUGAUGGCUACCUCUGAAUAAUGAUUUCUCCUCUCUCCUCCAGGGGCCAGGGGGUCUGGUUUUAUAGUCCCCUCAAGUGAACGUGAGCCAUUGGAUCAAACCAACAUAGAUUGUAUGGUUUAGAUUGAUCCUUUAGGUCGGUGGAGUCUUGCCCCGAAACAGAGUCCUGAUCCAACUCCUGGCCAGGGCGGGCGCCCAAGGGGGGUGGGCGGGCGCCCUGCCCCCGAGCCCGAAUCGCUUCCCGUUCGUUCCCGUGGCUUCUGGAUCCUUCUAGAUUGAGGAAAAUUGCGCGGCACGUAAUUAUCUCAUUGUAAACAUGACAUGUGGGCCUUCUCUCCAUAUUUUCUGAUAAACCCCUGCAGAAAUAGAUAAACCCCAAAACUCGUGGAAUUCUGUCAGAUAAAACCCUAAUUCUAGAUGUUUGUUUCAUAUUGAUCCUUUUUCAUGUUUAUUUGAUUAUUAAUUUUAGUACUUAAGGACCGUCAACACUUGUCUCCUUGGAAGAAAGGAUCUUCUUGGUAUAAAUAAUAUUCAAUCUUCUUCCAUGAGCGAGUUCUAUUUAUCUUUAUAUGAUUAUGCAUAUGAACUAGAGUAUGAUUGUGUUCUUAUCUUGUUCAUAGUAUAUGAACUAGUUCUUAGUUCUUGUGCUAUGUUCUUGAUAUGUUCAUCAUUAUUCUUCAUUGUUCAUAAGAUUAGUAUGAUUAGGAUUAGAAUUAGGAAUGGGAUGAUGGUUCACUGUGCUGUGAUUGUUGCUCUUAGCCUAGCCUGUCACUCCGAAGGGGUGGGGCCCAUGGGGGUUAGGAGUUCAGGUAUACGGGAAUCAGUGGAUAUGCGGGUAUCUUUCGGGUAGAGGGGUAGGUGGCAGGGUAGUGACAGCUCUGUCAUCCUUUGCAUUCCCCCACGAUCAGGUAUUUCGAUAGGAGUUUUGUAAAGUGUCUAUCGGCUGGGUAUCCAGCUGCGGGGAUCUCCCCUCAUCUCAGGCUUAGUUCUAACUCUAUUUAUUGCUAAUUAGAUGAUCCGCUAACAAUUAUAUGCAUAGUUAUAUGUGAUCCAAGCCUGUUCAAGCAGAUUUAUUUCUUUAUUCUUUAUUUAUUAUUUCUCUUCUAUUUUAUCCUUGAGGUUGAUCCAAUGUGUGUCCACUAUCUUGAAUAUCAUGUUUAUUCCUGUUUACUCUAUAUCUACCAAGCAUUCAAUAAGUAAUCAUGUUUACACCAUGUUUGAUCCCUUUGCCUUCCUACGGGAAUUAUAAAUUCAGCACCCUUGAAUACUCAUGGGUUGAAAUGCUACAAAGAUAGUUCUGUCCGCUUGCAGUUAUAUUACUUCUUCAUUCAUGAACAAUCGAUUUGUGUACCUAAGUACCGUUACUUAAGAUUUUAAUCCUUGUGCACUUUCAAGCGUAGUGCCACAGCUUUGCAUAUCGCAAGUAAGGAUGGUUAGGAAGGCCAAUCUGGCAUUCCUAAUUAUUGUUACCAGAUUGCACUGCUAAGGCCGACGCCCUCGAGUUGCCUUGGGUUAUCUCUCUGAUGUAGCGAUAGUUACGGUAUGCCAACACCCGACAUUUCUGGUGCCAUUGCUAAGGAUGGAUCUAUGGUCUAUUUUUAGUAGUGUUGCUAAGAAAUUCCAACAGCCAGCCGGGCCCGCUGGCUAGAGCGUCUAGAGGGGGAUAGAUCCCCGUCGACGUCACGUCGCCGGUGAGGCCUCACGGCCAAAACUGAGGGCAUCAUCGUGUCUGCCUCACAUUUGUGACUCGAUCCCACCCCACAUCGCGACCCACGGUCGAGCAAAGCGAUCUGGCCACCAGCAAUGGCGCACCGGCGGCGCUGCCGCGGUGGUGCCGGCCACCACACGCCGGUAGAGCGUGCCAGAGUGAUUGCAUGCGACUCAGGAAGCCACGGCGACCGAAAUAUGCGUGGUAGCGAGGCAAGAAAAGGUCAGAAAGGGAAGAACAAGGGACACCGGCGCCAUGGAGAGCUCCGGUGAGGUCUCGCGCUCUCCGACGAGCGAUUUAGUGCCCUGGGGAAGCUCACCUGCGCGAGAAGAUCUCGUCCGAGCGUGGUGAUGCGAAUGCGGAGCUCAGAGAGGUGGAAGAGGGCGCAGAGAGGCAGCGGUGUGCUUGGAACGAGGUGGAGGAGACUCGGGAGCUCCAAUGGCGGGCGGCGGUGCGAUGCGCGCGGAGCGGAGGCGAGAGAGCGAGAGAGAGCGAGACGGUGCGCACAGAGUGGAGGAGGGAAUGGCGAGCGCGCUGGAGCUGUCCACAGGUGGAGGGGAGGGUCAUGACGUCGGCCGGGCGUGCAUGCCGUCCAUGCGGCGCCGCUGGCCUAACGCGGUCGGGCGCGCGUGGCGCGGACAUGUCCGAGCGGGAGGAGGAAGGGGACGCGGGCGCGGGGAGGCCGGGUCGGCUUUGUUGGCUGGGCCGGUUGGUUGGCGCCGGCCCGCCAGUGAACAACCCCCCUCUCCCUUUUUUUAAAUGUCUAUUCCAAAAAGCUUAAAUGCCAAAUUUGAGACUUUUGCAAAGCUUUUAAGGAUUUGGAGUAAAAAGAAGAAAUACUCCCCAUAAAAUUCUCCACUACUUAGUUUCAAGGUGCAAAUCCAAAUUCCAAACAAAAUUUGAAUCACAAAUUAAAACUUGUUCUAGGUUUGUAAAUAAAUCUAUUUUGGGAAAUUUGUAUAAAAUCCAUAUUUCAAAUUCUAGAGCUCCAAAAAUUUCACAAAAUUAUCCUUAAUUCUUCUAAAACAUAGUUCAAAUUACUUUGGUCAUCACAAGCAUUUUUGAAGUAAGCAUAAUAAUUUAUCAUAUUUAAAUUCAUUUAAAGCAAUCACAUAAAAUCACAAUUUAAAUGCUACUAUGCUCAUGUGAUCCUAUGCUCAUGCCCAUGCUUGAUGAGAGUGCUUAUGAGUAGUUUAUGAGACUAAGUGCAUGCUUAACACCUAGGGUGUUACAACUUGACCCCCCACACUUGGAUUCUUGAGCAUUUUGAAAUCCAAAGACAUGGGAAACAUCAAGUGCAGGGGUCCUGCUGGUGGCAACACACCAACAGGACCAAGUUGGGUCAUGGGUAAGUAGCUACAAUCUUAUCAUCAAUUUAACAGGGGAAAUUUCAAUCUUGUGUACCCUGGCAUAGAGCAAUUUUAUUUCAUCAUCUUUUAGAGAGUUAGAAGUACUAGGAAAAAGAUUGGUAGUAAUCCAGAUAUAAAUUAAGCACAAGGUUGGAUUGUGAAUUUUAGAGGUUAAGAGAGUGGAGCAAUCAUCAAAAUAUACUCUUGUUAAACCUAGGCAUGGUGCUGUCUAAGUCAAUUGUACUGUCAAAGUCACAACCUAGAGCAGUGGUUAGAAGACCCCAAGUACAGCUACACUCUUGCCCACACAUGCGAAAUUAUAUGAGUCAAUUUUAGUGUGCAUAAAAAUUCUUUAGUGAGCACUUCUAUACCAAGUUUAAGGUACUCACCAAAAACCUCCUAAACCAAUGGUAUCAAAAUAUCAUUGAAUUCUUUAGUCAUACCUGCGCGGUCCACAAGGGCUGGGUCGAGGAUGCUUGUAUGGCGGAAACCGCUCUCCUUUAGGUUGUUGAACUUGAUCACUCUUCCGGUGUUAAUAUGAGUUCAUUCUUCAAGAUCCAUUGCUCUUGGAGGAAGUUCGUAGAGCACCACUUGAUGGUGACUCUCCCCUUCCUCCAUCCUCUCAUUGCUUCCCUCAUUAGAGUGAUGAGAGCUUUGAGAACAACUCUCACCCCCUUUGGACUUCUAGAAUCGGGAGAGGAAUGCUUUCUCUAUUUUCCAGCACAACACAGACAACCAAACCUUUUCCUACUUCUACUCCUAUGAAAUACUAAAUAUUUUUUGGUUUUUUUGAAAGGCAACUAUUCUAAUCUUGAGAAAUAACUUGCAACUAAGAAGAGAGAAGAUGGAUUGUGAGCUUGAGAUAAUUUUGGUGGUUUUGGGUGUGGAAUUGAGCUCACAAUGCAUGGGUAUUUAUAAGGGACGAAGGGCAAGUGGUGAACACCCCAAUGCGGGGGUCGACCGACCUCCCCAUAAGCACUAUGUUUCAAAAUUUUGAAUCAUGGUAGGGAAUAUUGCAACAUAUAUGAACUCUUUUCCAGAGAUUGGCCAAUGUACGGGUCGGCCGACCCCUACCCUAAGCACUUUAGCACUCUAAAUGAUGUGGCAUUAAGUGUCUACUAAAGUAAAGCUUAGGCGUGGAAAAGAAGUAAAGUUCUUUUAUAAGAGUCCCUUGCCUAGUGCUAUGUGCAAGAGAAAAGAUGCUUUGCAAAAGUGGAGAUAUGCUUAAAGUGGUUGUCAGUGAUCAUGACAGCACUAGAGCAUGUCUAGGGGACCACUUUGUAGGUUUAAGCUGGUGCCCAGGUCCCAAACGAGCCAUUUCUUUUCAGACUUUGGCUUGUGUGUCAUGCAUGGGAUUCUAAAGCAAAGCAAAUGGGAGAUAGUAGACUGCAAAAAGGGCAAGUCUCGGGGUCGACGGACCCCAACUUGAAAGCUCUACGAGCAUCCAAGUGCUGACCUCAACACAUUGCAUCAAGCCAAAGUGAAAGACUUCAAGUGGGCCCAAUGGUGGGGUCGGCCGACCCCACCUCUAGGUGAUCCACAUGUCAAAAUUGUAUUGCAAGUUGUUCUCAAGAUUUUCAUUUAUUAUUCCUAAGCAUUUUGUCGAAGGGAAAUAUGCAAAACUAAACUAAGCAUGCAAUUGGAAGGGAAUUGCAAGAAUUGAAAUGCAAUGAGUAAAGAUGGGAUAAGUGCUGAUUUACCUUAUAAGCAAGGGCUCCAUGUUUUAGGUUCGUAGAGCAGGACCUCUCCAUCUUGUUUAUUGCUUGGGUGCUUCAGAUGGCCCUAGAGAUAUGGACCAAGAUUGCACCUCCUCUUGCCACACUUGCCUACCUUUGCCUUGACGUUCUUGGAGGCAUGGUAUGGUUCUCCUUUAAGCACAAUGGCCUCCAUGGUGACCUCUGGUUUCACAGCUAGUCUCGCUCAUGAUUGAAGGGGGCCUCACUGAUAUAAUUGAUGACAUUUGUGCUAGAGAGGACCACGACAGGCUACUCAAGGUAACUUGGGUGGCGUAUAUGGGGCCAGAAGGUGUUGAGUUUGAGACAAGGAGGAUUGGGAUGGAGAAGAAGAAGAGGGAAGGCCAAGGAAAGCUAUUGCCAAAGAUUACAAACUUGUUUUCACAAGAGUUGCAACUAGGAAUAGUUUCUAAGUGUUGGCACAACUCUCUGGGUCAGAUUGGGGUUCCCAACUAUGGGUCGCCCGAUCCCACCUCAGUGGAAACCAAAGUUCACACUUCUCCCUCAACUCUCCCUUUCGUAGGACCACUUUCAAGAUACUUGCAUCCUAUCAAGUAGGGGUCACCCGACCCUUAGUUGAUGGGUACAAAGCAAGAAAGUUUGGGUCCUACACUUUUUAGGUGACUAGAAGUGGUCUGGCCGAGUUUGAGCCCUAGUGGGUACUAGGUCCAGGUCGCCCGACCCCAGUUUGGAAGUUCUGGAGCAAACAUGUUCUGGGUUUGUACUUCCCCACAUGCCAUAGAAGGUUUGGCCAAACAUAGGCUUGGUUAGCGACUAAGAUGGGGUCACCCGACCCCAUAAUGGAGGCUCCCCAAGACCAGUUUUGUCUCAAGGACUAACAUAAGUGUAUUCAUGCUAUCCUAAAGGCCAAUCCACACAAAAUAUAUAAAAUGUUAAGACAUGUAGAUUUUAGUCUUGUUGAAUCUUUAGUAAGGAUGAGUUCUAGCAUGUCAACUUCUUCUAUCAAGGAUCAAACUCCUAUAAAACUCUUAAGAAGGUGGCCACUUACCUCGAAGAUGAAGAGUCAUAGCAUUGGCCCUUCUUAGUUGCAUCGAAGUUCUCUUUGGCCAAGAAACUUGUCUUCGACCAUGAGGAUCUCAAGUUGUCUCCAUGAAUGAUAUCAUGACUUACCCAUAGAGAUAUUGAUGUUCUUGCUGCAGGGGUUAGUCCAAAGAUGCAACCAAGUUCCAUGCAAGUAUGUUUGGUUCAAUAAUCAAACUUAACACCAUGUCUUGUUUGAUUAAGGUAGUCUAUUUAACCUAAGCACCAUGCUUAAUUUAAAAAGACUAUGGAGGUACUCACUCGAGCGAUUAGUAGAACCAAACCAAAGCAUACUAACAUAGAAAGAGGGAGCAUGAUAGGUUGAACAAGAUUCAUCAUACUAGAGACAAGAUAAUGAGUGAUGAAGACAAGAGGCAAAUAUUUUUUUUAUUUUUAUAUGCAAGGCAAUGCAAAGUGGAGGAUGAAUGCAUUUAAACAAAUAUGUUGUGGUUAAAAUAAUGAAAAAAAAUGAGUGAUAUGCAUGAACAUCUGGGCUUUAGCUUUUUCCUAUGGCGUGGCCCAUCCAAAGGACAGCAUCAUACCGACUAUUAAGGCCGAUAUAUGAGCGAGGAUGUUCCCGUUUAACAUUCGACUACCACAAGCUAGACUAGGAGCCCGAAUAGGUAGACAACAAUUAAAUUGUUGUCUAUCUAGACUAGGCAUGAUGCCCGAUUACAACUCAAAGACUAUGAGCUACCCAAGAAAGCACUAGAUUUAUGCAACAUUAAGCAAACAUGCAGUGGAAAGGAUAAAAAGAAAAGAAAGAUAAAAGAGGAAUAACUCGAACGACUUUGAGUCUAGUUAACCAGCUACCGUUCCCCGCAACGAUGCUAGAAAUGCUUGUUGACUCUUCUUAGCGUCACUACCUAGGAUUGUCAGUCCUUGGCACAACACGAGAAAUGCUUGUGUGACACCAGAAGUGGCAAACGGUUUUACCGCAAGCAGACGGUGGUCAAUGUAGCACUUCACCAGGAGUAUUCCAGGUAUCGUAUUUUCCAUGGGGAAUGAGAAGUGGAAUAACUAGACCAAUUGAGCCAUCGGAUGAUGAGCAAAGGGCUUAGGAUUGGGUGGAGAGGUAUUUCUAGUAUUCAGCUUCUGGCUAAGCUAUCCUAAGUAUACGUGAGAGUUAACUCCCUUCCUACUGUGGCCGAUAGGUGAAAAUGGUGUGGAGAAACACUUCCCUAGGCAGCUACCAUGCAGGCCAACUAUUAUUUGCAACUUGCCUAACAAUACACUAAAGAGAACUCCUAAUGUCCAACAGAGGUCUGUCACGCUUUGCUGCUGGCCUUCUUUAGGUGCAACAAAAAUCCACAAGGGUAGACUUAGUCUAGACACCACGUCUACACUAAUUCUACUACUCUAGACCCAACUAAGGUUUCGAGCACUUCACACAAGGGAAAACAAUGUGCCAGAUAGGCUAGUUGUGUACUUAAAAUAAGCUAAGACAAAAAGUAAAUACUGGAAGUACUCAGAUGAGAGACAACUAGAAGGAAGACUUACUAGAAGCCAAGCAUCCGCUGAGGCGCUCCUAGAAGAAGACACCCGACAAGCCGGGACUCCUCCUUGGGGAACUCUUCACUCUCUUCCCUCCAUUCUCACACUUAGCUAAGAGUAGCUCUUCCUAAGAUACAUCAUGCUUAACUAGGCUCUCUAAGGGGGUAUUUAUAGGGGAGAGAUGGAGUAGGGGCUACUCCAGCGCCACGUCAGCAAUCCGCGUGACCUCCAGCAUGCACUGUUGGAUAAACCAACCUUAGAACUACCAUAUGAUCAAUGGUUGGGGAUUUCCAUCACAUGGGGACGUCGGUGGGAGUGAAUCGACUCAAGAUGGGGCCCACAUGUCGGUCGGCCGACCUACCAUUUGGAUGACAAUGGGUCCCACUGACCUUCUAGAAGGUCCCUAGGUCGGUGGGAGGCUGGGCAAGGUGGCAUGACCCAAUUGGUCGGUCGGCCGACCGACCUUUGGGCCCCUGGCCCACCACUGGCCUCCUGGUGGUGUCCCCACUUGUCAUGUGAAAUGUUGUCCAAAGUCGAGUCUAGUUGCACACUUGCUUGCUUCCACGUGGGCCCAAGGGUCCAUGUGCUAAGUGUUUGAACCAUUGAGGGCAAGCACACAUGGAUCCAAGGGUUGGGAUUGACUCCUUGGAGUAUGCCAUGGGUCAUGCCAUGGAGGGGAGCCCCUAGUGGGCCCAAACCAUGGUCGGCCGACCUAGGUUAUGGGGCCCACAGGGCUCAUUUCCUUCUUCCCUGCAUUGAACAAGCUAAGAGUACAAGUGGAACUUUAUUAGUGAUAAACAUGUUCGUGUGAUGCUUAUAUUCCUUCAUUCGAGGACUGUUGAUAGGCUUUUUAGUAUAUAGAACUGGGUCUUAUUUCCCGUCAAUAGUGUAGUGGGGAGAACUCAAACUAGAUGAAUGCAUCAGACUCUCCAUUGCCGAUAUGGAGAAAAAUGAGUCGAUGAUGAUAGCAGCCGCAUACUUUUGGUCAGAUACCUUCAAUGCUUUCAUGUUUGGUCAUGGCCUAGCUUCCCCCACACUUGUCGAUGUGCUCAUGCUCACAGGGCUAGACAUCUCAACUGCUGAUGACGGUAGUCUUUUCAAUCGGAAACCUGACCACAUAGUAGAUGCUCGUAACAUCGACGGUUGGUCAGGAUACAUCCAGAAGUAUCAGCAAACUGGAUCGGUUAGCCAGAGAGAACACGCCAUUUUCCUAAACAUGUGGCUAGACAAGUUCAUCUUCUGUGGCUGAUUAGUAGGGCCCACCUGUGUCUACUUAGCAACUGCCGAGUGGUUAGCCAACAGUUCCCGAUUUCCUCUUGGCCGAUACCUCUUGAGUUCUACUUAUCACCUCCUUCAUCAAGUGGCCGAGAAACUUUUGCUAGGUGAACCCAUCGACAAUUUUGGAGGUCCCUGGUGGUUUAUUAAUAUGUGACUUAAUGCCCAUAUGCACAAGCGCCUACAAUGGGAUUUCUUUGCAUAGCGGUUUCCACGGGACAUUGCCGAGGAUUACGAGUUAGCAGAAGAUGAAUGGGCAACUCGCUCGCCCCUCAAUUUCAGCAAAGCCAUCAUAGUCCUCCCUGGGACCAAUGCAAAUGAGAAUCGGAUCGGCAGAUUCUUUCAAACUUUCUACAACAGCCUUUGCAGGGACCAUCGGGCUUGUAUGCCUUAUGAAGACGAAGAAUUCAGUUUCCCUCUCUCCUUUCACCAUACUGAUCAAGUGCUCAACAAGGAUAAUGACUUGACGUUGGCAAUUAUCACCCCAAGGGCAAUUCCAGUGAACACCUUUGGUAGUGGAAAGAAUACCAACACAACCUAUGAAUCUCUGCUAUGCCGAUGUGGUCAAGCCGAGGGAAACAAUCAUGUGUUGUCUCGAAUGGAUCAGGGUAGCUGAACUUCUACCAGAUGCCAAUACAGCAGACAUUGACCUAUCAGCUUGGGUUCCAGCCUCCUUCAUCACCGAAUCCUACAAACUAUGGUGGGAAGAAUGGAAGGAAAAAUUGUUCAUGGCAUCGGCUCACGUUUAUUGGAACUUGAUCGACCCCGAGCGCGAAAUCCCCGAUGAUGCUGUAAGUCCAUUUCUGAUGCUCAAUACUUCCUCUACUUCUAAUUUUAUCGACAACUUAUCUUUUUGCUUUUACAGGUCGAUGAUCUGGCACCAUCGGUAAGCAAAAGCGGGCGGCCGUUUGAUAUCCGGCCAGCAUCUCUGAUUUCUUUGAUCAGCCACAACACCCCCAGCUUAGCACCUCUGAUGCACCGAGGCGUUUGUUUUAAGAAGAUGACUACCAAGCGAUCAAAGGCCACUCCAUCGGUUGCUGCCGCCACCCUAGCACAAGCUUUCAAGGUAAAUCCCCUCAAUUAAUUCCUGUUAUACCGAUUUUGACCUAUUCUUAUAUUAUCUUUUCAGGGAGCAUCAACCAUAACUAGAACGUCAUCCGUAACUUUGCUUUUCAUUAGACACCUUCAUUCUUCAAUGAAUUUCAGAAAUAUUCCUCUGCUCUUAUAUCUAACUCUCAAAACUUUAAAUUUUGUGGCAGCAAACCAGCGCGUCGACAAGGGCCCAAGGCAAUCAAUCAUCGGGCGCUGAUGCCCCCAGUCGACAACCAGCCAAGCCCCUCAUAAGAGAAAAUCCCCCAAAGCACCAAGACUCAGCCGAAACGGCAGAAAGCAGCACCAACCUCUCCACCUCAUCCGGUGCCCCAAACUCAUGCAGAUUCGGCCGAUGCACCUGAGAUGACCAUCGAUCCACUCAAUCAAGGGACGUCAUCGGCCGUUAUUCUUAAGCAGGCAACUAUCACUCCCCCUCAAGGUAAAGUACUAAUCAUUAAAUUAUUGCCAAUGAAUUUUUCACAUAAACACCAUCAUCAUCCUUAGCAUCUGCAGCUAAAGAUAUUCAAUCGGCAAAUCUAGCCGAUCAAGGUACAAUACAAGUUGCAUCCCUAAGUCAAAGGCAAGAAAUCACCCUAAAACAAGUAAGCCACCUGAUUUGUUUGAUUUUGUAUUAUCUGCAUCUAAUCUUGACUAACUCAUUUUCUCUUCUAUUUUCAGGAACAAGACUCCCCCGACAGCUUGUUCUCCUUUGCCAUCGACAUCUCUGAUGAUGACGGUGAAGAAGCAAGUUCUUCCUUGGCGCUCGGAAUCGCAUCAGCAGAGAUCAAAUCUAAGUUGGAGGAUCUACUGGGCAUUUUGCAGCAAGAUACAGCCCAACUGGUGGGUGAUUCUAACCUAGCCAAGGACAUCUCCAAGACUCUCUGGGGUCAAAUUCCACCCGAUGUCAAAGAAAUGAUCUUCCAAGCUGCCCAUCUGGAGAGCCGCCAACUCCAGAAUCAAAAGGCUGUUCAAUGUCUUGCCGAUAGAGCUGCCUACGCCCAACUCAAGGAAGAAAUGCUCCAGGUAAAGCAUGCUGCCGAUGAGAAGCACAAGAGCAUCGGCACUUUGCAAUCCUCAAGCACCGAAUUAAAGCAGAAAAUUUUUGAUCUGUCAACAAAGAGAGAGGCUCUGCUCACUAAACUUAAACAAGUUGAAGAAGCGUUAACCCAGGCCAAGCAGGAAAAAGCCAACUGUCGGAUGUGCUCAAAAAUCUUCAGCAGAAAAGGGAUGCCCAAGCUCGCAAGGCGUUCCACAUGAAGAAGAAGCUAAAACCACUAGAAGGCUCAGCCGAUGAAGACACCCAAGAGAUAGAGGAAGCCAACCAGAUUCGCCUGCGUGCAAUAUCAGCUAUCCAAGCUUUGUUAAAUUUGUAAACCUCUUCAUCGGCAACAUGUUUUACCAAUUCUCUCGAAAACACAAGUAUUUGAUCCAGCCAAUAGGAUUGUUAUCGGUACUUAAACUUCUUAUGCAUCGACCCAGACACUAGGGUAGUAUCUUUUUAAAUAUUUUCCAUUCAAUGCCCUGGGAAAUUCAACUCCUUCAAGAGUCUCUAGAAUAUAUGCAUUGCCAGGAGCGGAUCGAUUUAUCUGAUAAGGACCUUCCCAAUUAGGAGACUAUUUUCCAAAUUUUUAACUUUUAUUCCUAAUCGAUAGAAUUAGUUUCCACAACUAAAUCACCAUCGGUGAGCUCCUUAGCUUUUACCCAUUUAUCAUACCAUCUAGCCACUCUCUUCUUAUUCCCUUCUAUAUUUACCAAAGCCUUUAACCGAUGACCUGCCAAAUCCUCCAACUCAUCUUUCAUUUGAGUUACAUAAUCAUCGGCAGCUAACUGAUCUUGAGAAAAUAUCCACCUAGAGCCAGCUUUGAUUUCCCAAGGUAACACAGCGUCAUGCCCAUAUACCAACUGAUAAGGCAAUACUUUAGUUGCACUAUGACACGGCAUCCGAUACAACCACAGAGCUUCAUUUAACACUAUAUGCCAUCAUUUAGGGUUAUCUUCAAUCUUUCGCUUGAUGAGCUUAAUAAUUCCUUUAUUAGAAGCCUCGGUCUGCCCAUUGGCUAGAUCAUAAUAAGGAGAAGAGUUCAACACCUUAAUUCCCAUACUGAUUGCAAAUUCAUCAAACUCUCCCGAUGUAAACAUAGUACCUUGAUCGGUAGUGAUUGUUUGAGGAAUGUCAAAUCGGUAAACAAUAUGCUCCUUUACAAAAUCAAUCAUGUUAGCCGAUGUCACCCUCUUUAAAGGAAUAGCUUCAACCCAUUUAGUAAAAUAAUCAGUAGUGACGAGAAUAAACUUAUGUCCCUUGCUCGAUGGCGAAAAAAUUUGACCGAUGAGAUCAAUAGCCCAUCCUCACAACGGCCAAGGCUUGAUAAUAGGAUUCAUAGCCGAUGCGGGUCCCUUUGGAUAUUGCCAAACUUCUAACACCCUUGACACCCUUUGAAAUAUUUGAAACAAUCCUCAAGAAUGGUCGGCCAAUAAUAUCCAUUCCUUCUAAUUAUCCACUUCAUUUUAAAAGCCGAUUGGUGUGCUUCACAGACCCCCUCAUGAAUUUCACCCAUCAAGCUUUUUGAUUCAUCAUCACCAAGAUAUUUGAGUAAAAUUCCAUCUGCAGUACGAUAAUAUAGCUCAUCAUUAAGAAGUACAUACUUGGUGGCUUGAAAUCUAACACGCCUCUCAACUUUCUUAGAUGGGUUUCUUAGGUAAUCAACGAUUUCCUUUCUCCAAUCAUCGGCACCGAUUGCCGAUAGAAACACUUCCAGGAUAGGUUGAUAUCCUGAAGAAUGUUGGGCCAACUGAUUAGCUUUAUGUAGUCAAGGAAUAUGUUCCAAAUGGAAUUCUUUGAAUUCCUUCAAUAACUGCAAACAUCUUUCGUAAUAUGAUAUUAAAAUUUCACUUCGGCAUUCAUAAAUUCCAGCCAACUAAUUUAUAACGAGCAUAGAAUCACCGAAGAUUUCAACAGCAUCGGCAUGAACUUCCCUUAAUAACUCUAAUCCUUUGACUAGAGCUUGGUACUCCGCCUGAUUGUUUGUUGAUGUAGCAACAAUCGGCAAAGAAAACUCAUACUUCUUCCCUCGGGGAGAAAUCAACACUAUACCGAUACCUGCCCCUUGAUCACAUGUAGAUCCAUCAAAGAAAAGCGUCCAAGGAGCAAUCCCCAAGGAACUAAUCGAACUGCAAUGUUGGGUAACAAAAUCGGCCAUAAUCUGACCUUUGACUGCUUUAGCCGAUUUGUAAUGUAAGUCAAAUUCCGAUAAUGCCACUAUCCAUUUACCGAUUCAACCACUCAUAAUCGGCAUCGACAACAUGUAUCUGACUACGUCAUCUUUGCAUAUGACAGUACAUUCGGCCGAUAACAAAUAAUGCCUUAAUUUAGUACAAGAAAAGUACAGACAUAAACAUAAUUUCUCAAUAGCCGAAUACCUCGUCUCGGCAUCCACCAACCUUCUACUUCAAUAAUAAAUCACACGUUCUUUCCUUUCAAAUUCUUGAAUGAGAGCUGAACCGAUAACUGCAACAUCGGUCGAUUGGUAUAAUCUGAAGGGUUUUCCAUGCUGAGGUGGAACUAAUACUGGAGGUUUUGUCAAAUAAUUCUUAAUUUCAUCUAAAGCCGAUUGUUGCUCUCUUCCCCACACAAACUCUUGAUCAGCUUUUAAUUUGAGCAUAGGACUGAAAGCUCGGAUCUUACCCGAUAGAUUGCAUAUAAACCACCUGAUGAAAUUAAUCUAGCCGAACAAGAAUUGAAGUUUAGUUUUAUCAGCAGGGGCAACUAUCUUGUUGAUUGCAUCAAUAGAUGUUCUACUAAUUUCAAUUCCUCUCUGAUGCACCAUAAAACCCAGAAACAAGCCUACCGAUAUGCCAAAUGCACAUUUAUUUGGAUUCAUCUUCAAACCAUGUUUCCUUGUACAUUCAAGUAUUUUUUGCAGAUCGGCUAAAUGCUUUACGAAAUCCCCAGACUUAACCACCACAUCAUCAAUAUAGAUUUCCACCAACGUACCGAUGAACUCAUGAAAAACAAAAUUCAUAGCCCUCUGAUAAGUAGCACCAGUAUUUUUCAAGCCAAAAGUCAUGACUAUCCAUUCAAAUAAUCCAACAUGAUGAGGACACCUAAAUGCAGUCUUGGGAAUAUCUUCUUCAGCCAUGAAUAUUUGAUUAUAUCCUGCAUUGCUGUCCAUGAAGCUAAUAAUCUGAUGCCCAGCUGCAGCAUCCACCAACAUAUCGGCAACUGGCAUCGGAUAACCAUCCAUCGGUGUAGCUUUGUUAAGAUUUCUAAAAUCAAUGCAUACAUGAAGUUUUCCGUUUUUCUUGCAGAUAGGAAGCACAUUAGAAAUCCACUCAGCAUACUGACACUGCCGAAUGAACUUGGCUUCGAUAAGUUUGGUUAUUUCGGCCUUAAUAUCAGGAAGAAUGUUAGGGUAACAUCGACGCGCUGGUUGCUGAUGUGGCCAAAAUCCAGACUUAAUAGGCAACCAAUGUUCAACAAUCGAUCGGUCUAAUCUAGGCAUCUCGGUAUAAUCCCAAGCAAAGCAAUCUUUAUAUUCCUUUAACAAAUCGGUUAAUUGCUGCUUACAUUUAGAAUCUAACUUAGCACUAAUGAAAGUAGGCCUCGGCCUGUCACCACUACCUAUGUCUACUUCUAUUAAAUCAUCAGCCGAUGUAAAUCCCUGUCCUAACUUUCCAUCAUCGGCGAACCUAUCCAUUAAAACUCUUCACCAGAACCAACUGCUUGGAUCGGUGGAAUCUCAUAAUUGGCAACUUUGAGAAAAUCUUUCUCCCGCCUCUCCCGAUAUGCAUUUGGUUCGCUCGUAAGUAUCUGAUUCUACCGAUGCAAUGAUGUAGGAAGAAUCUCCAGUAUCAAAUUUAAUUAUUAAAUAAACAAAGAAAAUGAUCCAAAUGAAAUCAACAUCUAGACUUAGGGUUUUAUCUGACAGAAUUCCACGAGUUUUGGUGUUUGUCUAUUUCUGCAUGGGGUUUUCAGGAAAUACGGAAGAAAGGUCCACACGUCAGGAUUACAUAGAGAUAUUAACGUGCCGCGCAAUUAUCUUACAUCUAGAAGACUCUAGAAGCCACGAGAACGAAGCGGAGGCGAAAUGGGGCCUGGCCUAGGGCGCCCGCCCAGGAGACCAGGGCGCCCGCCCACCUCUGGAGUCCAAUCAGGACUCUCUUUCGGGAUUAAGCUCCACCGACCUAAAGGAUCAAGGAUAACCAUUCAAUCAAUGUCGGUUUGAUCCAACGGCCCAUAUUCACUUGAAGGGACUAUAAAACCAGACCCCCUGGCCCCUGGAGGACAGAGCCUCUCAACCCUAAUUCAUUAUUCUUCAAGGGAGAAGAAGCCUCUGAUCAAGCCUAGAGGCACCACAUCAAUUAGACAUCUAGAUUAGCAUAGCUACAUAGGAUUAGAACUAGAAGGAGUCAAUCUUCGAUUGGUUUCCGGAUCUGUCAAGAGGAUUCUUGGUAAUACUCUAAUUGUUCUUCUAAUUGUUCAUCUUUGUUCUUCAAUAUUAUGAAUAUGACUUUGUUCUACUUCAAUAUAUUGCUUAUGACUUUGCUCUACUUGUUUAUAUUCAAGAUUAUAUUGUUCUUAGUUUAUCAUAGUUAUAUACUUGGCUUAGUUAGAUUGGAUCUAUAUACAUGUUUAGGAUCGUAUAGCGUUUAUCCAUCGGAUCCAUGGGUAAAUAAUAGAUAUUGUGUAGGCGUGGUGCUUAUACCGUAUUUAUCUGCGAUUGUACCCAAUAUGCCAGAUCGUGGGGUAGUUCGUGAUAGUGACAGCUUGAUUGAUUCUUAUAUAGUCCCCCUCUCGUGUAUUGGGCUGGCAGAGCAACAUUAUUACAGGGGAGUGAUUACGAUGUUUCUUAUAUUCCUUGCUAAUAUCACUAUGCAUGGGCGUAGUCCUGUCUCACAAUGAUUGCUAGGUAUGCUUGCACUAACUAUGAUAAUGCUAGACUAUAUAGUUGAGAAUAACUUAGGAAAUAUUCUUGUAGUUCGUUCUAAUUCCAUGCUAAUGACUUCCUAGAAUAUCUAAUUGAGGUGCUUAUCAUAUUUAUUAUGUGGCUAAGUUAUGCUUAUCAGAUUAAUUAUCUUUGUCACUAUUCACUACUUUAUAUAUCCUUUAUGUGACACUUAUCCCUGUAUGAAAGAGUUAGAUAAAUGUUCUCAAUUAUACAUGCAAUGAUAGAUACUCAAUCUUAUAUUCCAUUCUAUAAUCAAUAUUGAUGGUUACUAAUCCCUUCCCAGUGGUAAAAAUAUAAAUAACGAUACCUGGAAACUUCCCGGUUAAAAUGCUACAUCGGUAUUAAUCUGUGCGUUUGCAGAUCCCAUUCAUUAUUUAUUUAGAUGAGCAAUUGCAUAUUUCAAUACCGCAUCUCUCAUGUCAAGCUGGGGAUGACAACUUGGCUUAAGUGGUAUGAGGGAUAGGUUUGGCAUUUUUGGCGCAGUUAUCAGAAUUAGAAAACUAAGUCUAUUUUUGGUAAUGACGUUAAGAAUACCCAACAAGCAUUUUUGGCGCCGUUGCCGGGGAAGGUUGAUUACUAAUCAGGAAUGAAUAUAGGAAUUUGAGUUAUCAUUCGCAUCACUAAUAUGAUUGAGCUUAUCAAUUCUCUCAUACAGUUUUACCCUGAUAUUUUUAUAUUUUAUCUUAUGCAGGGUAAUGUAUGAAUAGAAGACAUCUUCCAGGAAAUUUUGUUGACAAUCCCGAAGCAUUAUUCAGAAAAACAAGAGCCAAGCUCAAGAAGAGAUCAUCAACACUUCAGCAAGAAGCUUCAUCCAAUCAAGAAGAUAACCGGAACUUGUCUUCAGAGUUUGAAGUCAUGGCGAACAAAUCAAUCCGCGAUUUCUCAGCUCCCACUACGGACAACAUCUGCACUGGACCUGCUGCAGAGAUCGAUGGCAACUUUGAGCUCAAGCCUGGACUUAUCAACAUGGUGCAAUCCAACUAGUUCUGUGGGAAGGCACACGAAGAUGCUAGUGCUCAUCUCCAACACUUCCUAGAGAUUUGCAACACAUUCACCAUAUCAGUGUUGAUAUUUGGUAACACAAUAAGGAAAUGAUCCGCAAGCGCACGGAUAUCGGUGAGCAUUUCACCCGGGAGGUUUUCUAGAGUAUCGUAUUUAUAUUUUUACCACUGGGAGAAAGGGUGCAUCUGACUAACCAAAUCUAUUGCUACUAUCCCUUUAGGCUACAAAGAAUGUUUCUCGAUGUGAGUGAUGUAUAGAGAAGACUGCAACCGUAGUCUCGUUCUAACCUUGGUAAGGAUGAUCUACUAUUCUAUUGGGGAAGCUAACGGAAUCUAGACACCACAAAGGAUGUUCGACCCGCACCUAUAAACCUACCCGUCCUGCUAACAAGAUGUGGGAUACAAAGGUAACUCAGAAAUGUCACGUUCCUCGCUACUACCACAGUCCAGCUAGUCAGGGGAUAUCUAUAAGUACCCUAGCCUAAACACCACGUUUACGCUAGCAAUGAUUACUCUAAUACUCAACCGGAAGAGGAUUGAAGUAAACUCAUAAACCAAAGAACAAUAAAACAAGAACUUACUAGAAUUAGAAGUCGAAUUACAGAAGAAUCUUAGGAGCAAGCAUCGGGUUCGAAGACUUGAUCCCGCAGGUACAACUCGGAGUAGACACCGAGAGGCCGGCCUUCCUCCGAUCUACACCUCCACUCUAUAUCUCUCAAUCUAGUAGAAACUAGAAGAUCUAAUUCUACUCACAUUGGAUGCUAAGCCUAAAAUAAAUUUUAUUUAGAGGAGAGGUAUUCCUUCGAGGGCUCCUCUCAACUCUAUGAAAAACUUGUCUCCUCCAGGGGCCAGGGGCCUUGCUUAUAUAGUCCUCCUCCUCUAUGCAUUUUUGGGUCGGUAGGCGAUGUGGUACUACAUUAUCCUUGAUCCUUUAGGUCGGUGGAACAUCGUGUGCGAAGAGAGUUCUGAACGGAGUCCAGAGGUGGGCGGGCGCCCAGGUCCUCAGGGCGGGCGCCCUGGGCCUGGCCCCUUUUGGCCUCUGCUUUCUUCCCGUGGCUUCUAGAGUCUUCUAGAUGGUAGAAAAUUGCGCGGUGCGUUGAUAUCUCUAUGUAAUCCCGACAUGUGGGUCUUUCUUCCUUAUUUCCUGAUAACCCCCUGCAGAAAUAGACAAACACCAAAACUCGUGGAAUUCUGUCAGAUAAAACCCUAAGUCUGGGUGUUGGUUGCAUUUGGAUCCUUUUCUUUAUUUAUUUGAUGAUUAUAUUUGGUACUUAAGGACCGUCAACAACUCCCCCAAAUUUACCUCUUGCUCGUCCCUGAGCAAGGCUGGACUCAAAAUUUUCUGCAAUGGUUUCAUGCCUUAAAAGUAAGAUCUUAUCUCUGAAUUAGAGUAAACUGUUAAGACUUAAAAACUUACUCAUUUUACCUUUCCCCAUGGGGCUUGUAACCGUCACUUGUGUCUUGAGCAGUUAAAAGAUAGAACGGUCAAGUCAAGCACCAUGUCUCUUAUUCUUGAUCAGCUAUAGCUCUGGAGUUUUUGCAGAUUUUCAAAUAAAACUCAGAGAUUCCUUAUAUGAUUCUCUCAAAUCUCUCUUUUGUGGUAUUUUUGGAUCCUUACCAAGGCAUUAAUGGUAUAUGCCUUCACUCAAAGUAUGUGGUAUUUUUGGUAUAAUGCAUAGUGAUAUUGCUUUCUCUCUCACCCUAUUCUAAAAGGUUUUGAUAUCUGGAGCUCAUAGGUGGGAGACAGCUAAUACAUACUUACAAGACAUUUAUUGCAUAGUCAAACCAUGGAUCCAGAGAAACAAGUCAAUAAGUUAAAUCAAGAUGUGCAUGUGUGGCGAAUGAAUGGUGUAUGGUGAUGAUGGUGAUAACAAUGGUGAAAGUCUAAUUCUACUUUUGCUCUUUUGAGGGGAUACAUACCUUUCUUGCACUUUGAAGGUUUUUGAGAGGAAUGAGAUGCUCUAUAUUUUCUUUUUCUUUUCUCUCAGGUGGGUAUCUUGUACCCCUAAUUCUACUGUCGGACACUUGUCCAUUUUUACCUCUCGUCUCACUUUUUCUUUUCUUCGAGGUUCCGGGCACUUGCCCCUUUUUAUUUCCUCGUAUUUUUUUCUUUUUUGUUCAGAGCACUCAUCCUCCUAGAAUAAUGUAGCAAGUGGUAGUAACCAAGAUAACUUGAGCAUUUAUUUCACAGGGAAAACAGAAAUAGGAGAAUAUUUUUGGCUAUUCUUUCCCGGAUUAGGAGUAGAAUAAUUUUUGGGUGAAUCUGGAGAUGGAACUGAGUAGAUGUAUGUGGAUGCGUACUUCUAGAGUAGAAGCAGCAUGUGUGAGUGAUCGUGCAAGUGAAUCUUGAUUUAUCCACAUGACAAGCUCCUAAGGGUCUACACAGCUUGACCACACUCAAUGCUCAUAAGCAGUAAAAAGUAAAUGUGUGGCUCAAAGUCUAAUAAGCAUGUAAAUUUGGCUGUGGUAGGAUUUUAAACUCUCAUCAUACAGGAACUCAUCAUGUGUUAUUUUAAAGAUUUUCAAAGAUAAAAUUCUCCAUAAUUAUAGCAUCUCUAGGAACAGAUAAACUGCAGCUCAACCUUCCCAUAUCAUAUCCGUUAACAACUUAGACUUUAGAUCAAGUACUCUUCCCACAAGUUCAGGUUUAGAGCAAAUCUUACUUCAUAACAGUCAUGCCUAAACUUGAGAGAGAUUUCAAUUUUAAGAACUAGUCAUGGCAGAGCAACUAUUCAUCAUUUCCAUGUGAGAGUUUAUCAUGAGGGUUCAUAGCAAACUUUAUUUAUUUAUUUAUUUAGCAAACUAAGCAAAGAUAUAUAUAUAAAAGCACAAAAUAUUUAUUUGGGUUUAUAUGAUUAUGCAUCUUUUAUUAUUUGAGUAAAGUAUAAACGCGAGUAGAAACACUUAGCUAGAUUAAUGGGGGUGCUCUCCCCCAAGCUGGAUUUUGCCGUAAUUUCUUCUGAUGUAGCUAGCAGGUGGUCGAGGUGUAUUUGAAAGUCGGCAGAAGCUGACAGCGAUUAGGAUGUCCUCUGUCUGCUAGCCUUCUUUGAUCCUUGAAUUCUGUGGAGCUCAAAUAGACAACAAAACUUUGUGGAACUGGUUAAGUGUUAGCAUAAAAUCUCUUUGCCUUUAUCAUGUUGAGCCUCCUCAAUAAAUGUUAUUUAUUUAGCAGGAUCAUGCACUUAUUAUUUUUAUAUUUUUAUUGUAAGAUGAAAACAUAUUCAUUUUAUGCCACCACAGUGAAUGUACCUAUGGUUUUUAUGCCAUGAGCAUACUCACAUGGGGCUUAACAUUUUUUUAUUUUCUUUUUGAGAUGAUAUGAAUCUGAUUAACUAAGCAAACUAUUUUAAAUAAUUGAAAGGAAAAUGAUAACUACCAAGUUUACCUCUUGGCAAGGCGUUCGGUGUUUUUAAGUCCUCCAAACGGGACUCUCUGUUUUCUCAAUCGUCCUGAGAUUUGCUGGGUGGCGUAGUCGGUGGUUCCGGCGGCGCCUCCUCUUUGUGUAUAACCAUCUUCUCCCUCCACACCUGACUCGGUGCUACGGUCUCCUCAGGACAGUUCUGUUCAAGCCGUAUGUCUUCAGACCUUACCACUUCCCCUUCGUAGUCUGCCCAUCCGUUCUUUGACGAUUUGCCUCCUCUGGUUGCGUCGUCUUCUUCUUGUCCUGACCUACUUAGAGUCUUCAACUAUAUAGUUAAGGUCAGUAAAAUAGUGGCGUACCUUCUCAGAGGGGAAGUGCAUGUGGAUUUCUCCGGUUCCAAUGUAGAUGAUAGCUUUGAUAGUGUUGAGGAACGGUCUUCUAAGGAUGAUGGGUGGAUCGUACUCGUCUUCUCCCAUGUCAAUGACCUGAAAAUCGUGUGGAGCUAAAUGUAUAUUGGUUGUAGGGGCAUGGUUCCAUGCAGGAGCUCAUAAGUGACUACGGCCAUUAUGUUGUCGUUAGAUCCGGUGUCGUAGAGUGUCUUCUGAAAAGAGUAUCCAUUGAUUUUGCACUUGAUGCUUGGAAAAGCAGGGUCGUCCUUCUUGAUUAGGAAAGGCGACUUGAGUCGACGAUCUUGACCUCUUUGACUUGCAGUGACCAUCUUAGCUAACUCGGUCCAUAUUUGCUUGUUCCUGUUCCUCCUGUUGAUCCUCUUCCUUGGUUCAUGUCGGGAUUGCUCUGAAAAUUGUGUAGUCUUGUUCUUGAAAGAAAGUCUCCUUCUUCCCCUUGAUGUAGAAACUGAUCUUGGCAGUAUUAACGUAGAUGACAGCUCUGGUGUUUAGGAAUGGCCUCCCUAAGAUGAUGGGUGCCCUCUCCUCAGUACCAGUCUCUAUCACCACGACGUCUGCUAGAGCGUACAAGGUACCAACUCGGACGCAGAGGUUCUUCAAUAUUUCCUUUGGGAAACUGAGUGUCCGAUCUGCAACCCUGGGCAUAAUGUGGAUGCUGGAGCCAAAGUCGCAGAGUGCUUUUGGGAAGUCCACCAUGCCGAUGGAGAUCGAGAUGACGGGGCGUCCUGGAUCACCUCUCUUAGUAAUUAGGCCUCUGUUGAUUCCAACCUUGAUUUUGUUGAGGACGGAGUUCACGUCCUCCAGCAUCUCAGGGCAGUGAUUGCCUGAGUGUCCAGUAUCUCCAGUGUGUUUGUGCUCGUAGAUCCUGGUUCUUCUCUUGGUGGAGUCUGGGAGUUAUAAAACUCCUUCAUAUUAUGCUCGAAAUGUUCCUGCUCAUAGAGACAAGGCAGAGAUCAAGUGCAUGGGCCCUGUUGGUGGAAAACACCAACAGAACCAAAAGUGUAUUUGUUCUUCUCUAACCUUAAGCAUAGUGAGCAAGACAAAGUUGAUGGAUCAUGAGUGUAGCAUUUAAAACAUUUGCCAGAUCAGAUUGCUUGACCUAAUGGAAAGAUAAUCUAUCUAUAUAUAUUUUUUGUUUAUAUCUUCCAAACAUUGAAUGUGCAACAUAUUAGCUUAUAUGAUUAGGAGCGUGGGAUCACUAAGGUAGUACUAAGAACAAAGAUUAAAGGACUAAACAUGUUGAAUUAAUUGGGU
rnacentral:lncRNA from 1 species